UUUUUUUUUUUUUUUUUUAUUCUUUUUUCAACUUGGGUUUCUGAAAAUAUCAGCGUCUGGGUAUAACCCCAGGUCACUACUAGAAGAAAAGUUUUAGCCGACGAAAAUAAAAAAAUCAGGUCGACGAAUUAUUUUCUCGUUAUGUAACGUGGAUUUUAGCCGACGAAAUUUUUCUUCGUCGGUUAAUUUAAAUUUUCGUCAGCUAUGGUCAACUUUAAUCGACGAAAAUAAAAUUUCGUCGGCUAAANNNNNNNNNNNNNNNNNNNNUUGUUAUGUAAUUAUUAAGUGUAUAUAUAUAUAUAUAUAUAUGUGUUAAUUAAUUUGUUAUUAAUUAGUUGUAGUACGUAGAAUAUAUACUAAAUGAAUUGAGAUUUUAUAUAUGGAAAUUAAUUAAUAAUUAGCUAGAGUUAUACAUAUAUAUUUUGUUAUAUUUUCAGGAUAUGGAUAAGAGUUUGAUUUCGCUUCCAAAAUGGGACAAAAGAUAUGGUAAAGCAAUUAUGAGUUUUCUGGAAUAUGCGCUGGCUAAUGCUAACGAGAAUACAGUUUUCUAUUGCUCGUGCACGAAAUGUCAGUGUCGCAGCGAUAUGCAUCGAUUUGCGAUUGAAAAAGUAUGACAGCACCUGAAGAGUAACGGGUUUUGGGAGAAGUACACAUGUUGGUUAUAUCACAGUGAAACAUCAUCAGGGGGUCCGCAUGAUCAUGGCCAAUUUUCUGAGACGGGUAGUACAUCCAACGAUCCAACAACGGCCUUCAUCAACGACAUUUUUCCUUAUGAGAGCGGUGUAUGCGCUCAAGGACAGUAUAUGCCUGAGCCGGUGCAGUCCUUCCCUAGAGUUGUCAACACUGCUGGUAUUGACAAGUACAACAAACUGCUUGCUUUCCAACAGACCCCUGUGUACCCCGGUUGUCAGAAAACCGUUCUUGAAAGUGUGAUGGACGUAAUGAAGAUUAAAGUUGAGACAAAAUCGACCGUGAAGGCUGUUGAUGAUUAUCUACAGUACACUGUUUCGAUGCUGCCCCACGGUUGUCGUCUUCCUACCACUCAUCAUAAGGUCCGAUGUAUCCUGAAAGAUCUUGGGCUUUCUUACAUCAAGAUCCAUGUAUGCAGAUAUGACUGCGUUCUCUUCUGGGGUAAAGAUCUAGAAGUGAAUGACCUUGGUGGCCUUGACGCAUGUCCACUGACAGGUAUAAGCUGACUCCUACAGGCAAUAGGAAACCUGUGAAGGUACUUCGGUAUUUCCCGUUGAGGGAUAGGCUGGAGCGGUUGUACAUGUCUUCACACACGGCCGAAGCUAUGAGAUGGCACGCUGAUAGGGAAUUGCAUGACGAAGAUACCCUUAUACACCCUGCUGACGGGGAGGCUUGGAAGCAUAUAAACAGGGAGUUUCCUCAUUUUGCGUCAGAGGUCCGAAAUGUGAGGCUCGGCCUCUCAUCUGACGGGUUCAACCCUUUUGGCAACAUGAGUCUUCAAUACAGUGUAUGGCCGGUGAUUUUGGUACCGUACAACCUUGUUCCAUGGAUGUGCAUGAAGAAGGAAUAUAAUAUGUUGAGUUUGUUGAUUCCGGGGCCCGGUUAUCCAGGGAAGUGUCUCAAUGUGUAUUUGAGACCUUUGAUUGAAGAGCUUAAGUUUUUGUGGGACGUUGGUCAUCCCACUUAUGACAAGUACAUGCACGAGAUGUUCCAGAUGCAUGUUAUGGUUGUUGGUACCAUCAGUGAUUUUCCUGCCUGUGGGAUGUUGUCAUGCAACGUUGUUAGGGGAUACAAGGCUUGUCCAGAGUGCUUUAGCGAUGAGGGGAGCAGCAGUCAUUGCAACAAGAUAUGCAAAUUAGGUCACCGUACUCUCCUUCCAUAUAAUCACGAAUGGUGGUUCGAUGCACAGGCAUUUAAUGGGACCGUAGAAAACGGUGUGCCUCCCAGAAGAUGGACGAGGGAAAAAAUUUUAGCAGUGCUUAAUGAGUACGAUUUUGGGCAGCUCAGCAAUCAUCUCAAUAUUGUGGCGGCAAUACCUGAAAGACCCGACAGAUACAAAUUCUGGACACAUAAGAGCAUAAUCUGGGAACUCCCAUACUGGAGUAAAUUGUUGAUCAGGCACUACCUAUGUCACACCCCGGUUCUUAAGUUAUUUUACGGUUAUUUACUUUGGUAUUAUUUUGGUCUUUUACCGUGUUAAGUAACCGUUUACCACUUAAGGACCCUACAGUUGACUUUUUCUUGCGUUUGGAAUUUGGGAAAACUUUCUUCAUGAAAGUUGUAGAGGACAUUUUUACGAGUUCGUAGACAUGCUAUGUGUUAAAAUCGGAGUUAGCAUGAAAAAGUUAUGAAUUAAGAGAGUAAUUUUAUGAGAUGAUAAAAGGGGGUAAAUAUUAAGUGGGUAUAAUUUUUGGGGUUUAAGUUUAUGGACCGGGUGUGGGCAGCCCAACACCCCCCACUCACCCCCUCACUCCCUCACUCACACUCUCUCUCUCUUUUCCUCCCUUCUCUCCCGAGCCCCCAUCCCACCGGAAGUCUCCAACGCCAGCUGCCGCCGUCCGGCCAGCCACCAGCUACCAGCCCACCCCAGUUCUGACCCCCAUCACCUCCUCUCUCUCCCCGGCCUAGCCCCCGAGUCGUUAGCCCGCCGGAAGAGGAGAAAACUCGCCGGAGACGCCGGGAAGCUUUUUGCCGGAAAUCCCACCUCCGGCCACCAUAGGUCGGAAUCUUUGGCUCAUCUUGUAGCCCUCAUCAAAGUGAGUAUUCCCUCAAAUGGAAUUAGUCUAUUUCGUUGUUGUUAUGGAGAAAUGUAUAAUUGAAGUUUUUAGGGAUUUAUGGAAGUUUUGAUUCGUUUGCCCUAGUUAGCCUUAGAAAUGGACUAAGUGCUAGUUAUGAAUGUUGUUGAGCAUGAUGAAAGGAAUAUUCUGUGAAAAUUUGAGAAGCAUUGGCCCUCGCCGGAAUCCGGCUACCGGCCGCUGCCGCCCCUUAGGGGCAGUUUUUCAUGAUUUUGGGUUUGUUUUAAUGAGAGGAGUUUAAUGAAGUAUAGUUGGGAAUAUUUGGAGGAGAUUUGAUAAGGUCUGGGAUUUAUCAAUGAUAAAGGAUUUAGACGGUUAUUCGAAUGGAAAUCCGACAGUUGGUUUAGCAGGUUUUAAAGUCUAAAAAGGUUAAAUUAUGGUUUUCGGUAAGUGCGGAGUAAUGUGAGCCUUAUUAGGUAAUAAGUGGAGAAGUUGGACAAGAAAAAUGAAAAUUAUAGGCUUCCUUUUUAUUUCGGAAAUUUUAUUAAAGUUUUGUCCUGGUUUGGAGGCUUAAUGAUUAUUUAUUGUUCAGGACGUGAGGAGGAUCAUUUGGAGGAAGUCUCGGGCCGUCGGCAAGCAUAGCCUAGCACUGUGAGUAAACCUUUGAUUUUAAUAUCAUGCAUGCGCUAAAGUUAUUUAAUUUCAAAGGCAUUUGGAGAUAUAAUAUUUUGUUGGAUUAUCGAGCUCCACUUAUUUUUCCGGAACUCUAUUGCAAUUUUAGUUGACACGUGAGACGUAUCAAGUGAUUUAUAUUCUUUCCAUGUACAGUUGGGAACUGUACUAUGUGCUAUGAGUUUAUUAUAAUUUAUUCGGGGAAGUGUGGAUCUUUUUGUUUUAAUAUUGUAUUUCACCAUAAAAAGGGUUGAUAUAUAGAUUAUUGCUAGCUAACCUUAUUAGCGGUCCUCAUCAUAUGUGAGUCGUUAUUAUAGUCUUAUUAGCGGUUCUCAUCAUAUGUGAGUAGAGCGCUUAGCGUGGGACUCUAUUAUAGCCUGGGAGGCAACCGAUCGGUAUAUAUAUAUUUAUUGUUAGCUAGCCAUUAUUUAGCGGUCCUCAUCAUAUGAGAGUUGAGCGUUUAGUGUGGAACGCUAUUAUAGCCUUAUUAGCGGUCCUCAUCAUAUGUGAGUAGAGCGCUUAGCGUGGGACGCUAUUAUAACCUGGGAGGCUCAUUGUUAUGGUGAAACCUCUUCCCUAUUUUUAUUGAUUUAUUGGGAACCAAUGGGAUUGGUUCAUUAGUUUUGUCUAUAAUUAUUUUCGGAAAAAUUUUUAAGAAUGGCAUGCAUAAAUAUUUUCUCAAUGGAAAAUAUGGGAAAAGCAUUAAAUUGAUUUCAAUGCUUUAUCAUUAAGUCCGUAUUUUUAUUAUUUAUUUUGUCCACUCACUCUAACGUUUUAAAUGUUUUCCCCUGGGCCUUUCGUUUUAAAUGCCCAGUCUGCAGAGUUCUGUUCGGCGAGGGUAGGAGGCGGGUCAUAUUUCCCACCUCAUCCAGUUUUCUCUCAUAGGUUACUAGUUAACCUACCUAUGUAUUUCCUUCUUUCCUAGUAGAUGCUCUGAAUAACCAUGGGAUGUUUUGUCACAUCCCUACCCUUAUAUUUUUACCUUAUUUACUAGCGUGAUUAUAAUAAGAAUUUUACCGUCUCGAUCAUUGAGUAAAUAGUUUAAUUGGUCCCUAGAGGGGUUUCGGGGACGAUUAUGUGCGGAGGAUUAUUCGUAUGAGGAAAAUACGACGAUGGUAAAAAUAGUAAAUUUUAGCUAGUAAAAGGUAAUUUUUAUUCGGGUAUUAUUUUUCGGGGUGUUAAAUUUUGGAAUUUUGGGUUAAAAGGAGAGUUGGGUCGGCUGGGCCGAGCCCAACCCAUUUCUUCUUCUUUUCCCUUUCUCUCUCUCUCCCUCCCGUUUUCUCUCUUCCCACCCGAGUUUUUUCUCCCUCCACCCGGAAAACUUCGCCACCGCAGCCCGCCGCCGUCCGGCCACCAGCUGCCGCCGCUCCAGCCCAGAUCGGACCCCCGUCACCUCCUCUCCCUCCCCGGCCUAGCCCCCGAGCCUCUAACCCGCCGGAGAGGAGAAAAGCCGCCGGNNNNNNNNNNNNNNNNNNNNAAUUGCCCAGUCUGCAGAGUUCGGGUUGGAUCUAGUAGGAGACGAGGCAUAGUCACCCGCUUUUCGGCCAGUUUUCAUCAGUAGGUUACCUGUUCAACCUACUUGUGUUUUCUUGCUUCCGCUUGUGUUUAGUAGCUCUGAAUACUUUAGAAUUUUGUAUAUUAUGUGAUAUUCAGAAGCGUUAAAUUAAGAGUGUAAUAUGAAAUUUUCGAGUUAGGGUUGUCCAUCUGCAAGGGAGAUUUUCUUAAUCUUUUCAGUAAAUUUUCCUUGGAGGUGGUCCCCGCACGACUUACUCUGGGUUUCAGGGUGAAAUUCGGGGUGGGUCGUGUCAUGUUUUAAGUGAUAUUAAGAUUGUUUUUAUUGUGGUUGUGUGCUAAGAGCUUAUGACUCCUCUUAGGAGUGAUGAAAAAGACAUUUGGUAUGUUUGUAUGAGAUAUUAAAUUCAUGAAAUUAUUUUGAUUUUUUUAUGUGAGUUGAGGUGGUGGAUGUUUAUUUGGGGAGCGGAUGGCUCCAGAAGAUGUGGAUUAAAUUGUUUUAGAAGUGUAUGGGCUUUGAUGAUUUUUCUUUCAGGUAAGGUUACUCAUUUUCAAGAGAAGUUAUGCCAAAAUUUUGGUAGAAUUUCCCUUGAGGUGGGUCCCGCAGGGUUUAUUCCGGAUUUCAAGAGGAAAUCCGGGGUAGGUCCUGACAACCUAGAUGUGAUGCACAUAGAAAAGAAUGUUUGUGACAGUGUGGUGGGCACAAUGGUGAACUUGGAGGGGAAGACGAAAAACUGUCCUAAGGCACACAUUGAUCUAAAAAAAAUGCUUAUAAGAAGACAUCUGUGGUUGAAAGAAGGGAAGAAAAAAAUGCCUCAAGCUCCUUACACCGUGAAGCCUGACCAGAAUAACGUAAUUUUCAGGUGGAUGAGUUGUGUGAAGUAUCCUUUAGGCUAUGCAGGAAAUAUAGCCCGGUGUGUGAACUUCCGGGACAAUAAGAUGUACGAGUUGAAGAGUCAUUGUCACAUCCCGACCCUUAUAUUUUUACCUUAUUUACUAGCGUGAUUAUAAUAAGAAUUUUACCGUCUCGAUCAUUGAGUUAAUAGCUUAAUUGGUCCCUAGAGGGGUUUCGGGGACGAUUAUUGUGCUGAGGAUUAUUCGUAAGAGGAAAAUACGACGACGGUAAAAAUAGUAAAUUUUAGCUAGUAAAAGGUAAUUUUAUUCAGGUAUUAUUUUUCGGGGUGUUUAAUUUUAGAAUUGGGUAGUAUAUAGGUGAUGGACCGGUUUGGGGUGUGAGGCCCAAACCCAUUCUCUUUUCCUCUAUUUUCCUCCCGAUUUUCUCUCCUCUCCCGCUCCCGCACCCGAGCCCUCUCGCUGUCCGGAAUUCCGACCGCCAGACCGCCACCGUCCGGCCGCCCCAGACCACCGCACCGGUCCCAAUCGAUCGGUCUCCGACCCAGCUAUCUUCCAGGACCGGUGACAGCCCCCCUAGCGCCGCCGUGAGAGAGCGGUGCCGCCCGAAAGGUUAGGCUGCCCCGAACUUCCGGUCGCCGGAACUCCCUCCUCCGGCCACCAAUCCGGGCAAGCUUGGUACGGUUUUGUAGCCCUCCUCCCGUGCAGCAACCCCUCCAAUCAGCUCACUCCAUCUUGAGCUAGGUAAGGAGAAAUGUGGAGUUGAAAUUUCUAGGGCUUUUAGGAUGUUUUUGUUUGAUUAUCCUAGUUAGGCUUGGAAUUGGGUGAUGUGUUGGUCAGGAAAGUUGUAGAGCAUGAUGAGGAGAUAAUUCUGUCAAAAUUUCAUAGGUUUUGGAGGUCGCCGGAAUUGGCCUCCGGCCGCCGCUGCCGGCGGAGCCACCAGCGGCGCCGCCGCCGGUUAGGAGAUUUUUAGGGUUUUAAGUGUGGAAUAUUAAGAGGAGUAUAUUGAUGUGAUUUAUGGAAUUUUUGGAUGAGAUUUGGAUAGGGUUGUGAAUUUCCGAAGUUUGGUAUUUUUUGCGGUUAAUUAAUGCAGAAUCCGGCCGUAGGAUUUAAGUCGUAUUUUGGGGAGGUUGUAUUUACGACUGUUGAGUAUGAUAUUUAAGUUCGGAUCGUUCCGAUUUAAGAAUAUCGAAGUUAGGCAAUGAUGAGCGUAUUUAUGGCUCUCGGGUAAUUUUGCCUAUUUUGAUUAAAUAUUGGAUUAUUGGUUGGGAAAUUAAUAUUAUAUUUGGAACAGGACGUNNNNNNNNNNNNNNNNNNNNNNNNNNNNNNNNNNNNNNNNNNNNNNNNNGUAGUAGCUCUAUAUAGACCCAUGAAUUUAUAUAGGGAGUAUGGACGAGUGUAAAUACAUACAUAUAUUAUAGAGUCUGAGAAGCUCGAUAUUUUAUGAGAUAAAAGUUUUAUCGCUUGCGGCAUGCAUUCGAUUUUUCCUUAGAUAUUAAUUUGGGGAAACAUAAAUAUUUUAUUUAUUAUUUUAUUUUUGUCCACUCACUCUAACGUUAUUAAAUGUUUUCCCUUGGGCCCUUCGUUUUAAAUUGCCCAGUCUGCAGAGUUUGGGUUGGAUCUAGUAGGAGGCGAGGCAUAGUCACCCGCAUUUCUGCCAGUUUUCGUCAGUAGGUUACCUGUUCAACCUACUCGUGUUUUCUUGCUUCCGCUAGUGUUUAGUAGCUCUGAAUACUUUGGGAUUAUUGUAUAUUAUGUGUAGAAUUUCUGAAGGAUAAUUAUGUGAUGUUUGGAAGUGUUGUAUUAAGAGUGUAAUUUGGAAUUUUCGAGUUAGGGUUGUCCAUCUGCAAGGGAGAUUUUCUUAAUCUUUUCAGUAAAUUUUCCUUGGUGGUGGUACCCGCACGACUUACUCCGGGUUUCAGGGUGAAAUUUGGGGUGGGUCGUUUCAGUCAUGACUGUCAUAUCCUGUUACAACGUCUCUUCCCUACUUUCAUUCGACCGUUCCUUCCCCGUCAGGUGGUGGAGCCGUUAAUAGCGUUGGCAAGAUUCUUCCAGAAAUUAUGCACACGGGAAAUGAAAAAAUCUAACCUCCGGGAAAUGCAAGAGGACAUCAUUUAUAUCAUGUGUAAAUUUGAGAGGAUAUUUCCUCCAAAUUUUUUUGACAUCAUGCCUCACCUGAUGACCCAUCUUCCCGAGCAAUUGUUGCUUACCAGUCCAGUACACUACACUUGGAUGUAUCACAUGGAAAGGUACGUUUUUUACACCUGAAUUCCUCAAUAUACAUGUUCAACAAUCAGUCGACGAAUUUUAAAGGUUUAGCCGACGAAUUUAGAGGUUUAGCCGACGAAUUUAAAGGUUUAGCCGAUGAAGUAAAAAUUUCGUUGGCUAAAGGUAUAUAAUUAAACCCAGCGCUCGACAGCCUCCACAGCGCGAGAAAAAACCCUAAAGCCCUCCUCCGCCUCCUCCAUACCGGUCCGCCUUCGCGAGCCCUCACCGCGCUCCACAGCCACCACCGCCUCCUAGGUUUGGCCCAAUCUCCCUCUCCCGGUCGCCCUCUCCCACUCCUGCUCGCCUACUCCGCCUGCUCGCCUGCUCGUCGCUUGCCAGGUGGUGUAAUCCUCUGAUUUUUAUUUCGAUAUGUCAUUCUAGGGUUUCGAAUUUGGGAAUUUAGGGUUUUUAUGCGGUAUUGAUAUUGUGGAUUGGUUUAUGAUGAAUAUAUAUACAUAUAUACACACACACACACACACGUUGUUAUUUGUGUGACUUCGUUGUGGUUUGGAUUAUGCAAGUUUAAAUAUAUGGUUGCUGAAAUAUUGUGGAUAUUUUCGAUGCCUAUUGAUUUUGUGUUUGAUUUACGUGUGGUGUGUCGUUAUUAAGUUUCAUGAUUUUCUUCCUCAGCCAUGAUUCAAAUUAAUAUUUUAAACAGAAUGAGCGGUAAUUUUAGAUCGACGAAGGGUUCGAAGAGCCAAAAGUCUGAAUCGUCUGAAAGAACCUCUAGCAACCCUCAAACGUUGUUUCUGGGCCCCAUGACAUCCAGACGUGCGAUCUUUCUGGAGACGGCGCAGAGGCAGCCGGAGGUGCCCCCUUCAUCGAGGUAGUGGGGCGUCCCUCAUUCCUCGAGGCAGCUGUGGCCUCAGACCCAGACGGAGGUGUCUGCACCCCGUAUGCCUGAGAUACACCGGGCGCCCACUCCAGGUCCUACUGCUUCAGAUGGUGGGUCAUCUGGGGUACAGAUGCCGCCGCCUCAUCUGUUCCUUCUGCGGAUUAUACCGAUCUUACCUGCAGGCGAUGGCUUAGGGACGCCGAUUUAUCCACUGCCCCCGCCAGUGGCUCCAUCAGCGGCGUACCGAUUCGUGCCUUUUGAUACGCCUCUUAUUUCCGCGAGGGUAUCAUCAUCAGCGACAGAGACGGAAUCCGUCGCGUCUGCUGCAUCGCCCUCAGGUAAUGAAAGAUGAAUGAUUUGUUUUCUUAUAAUUAAUAAUAAAGGGUCUCCGAUUUUAAUAAUCAAUUUGGUUUAUCAUGUGGUAGGCACCGUCAGAACGAAGCCGACAAAGAAGAAGAGACGCCCCGUCACAGGGAAGACUCUCAAGAAGACCGUCAAUACCUCAGGGAGGAUCGUCAUCGGUACUGACGGGGAUGGCCACAUAGUAUCGGGCGGGAAGUCGAGGACGUACUCCGGCCGCGUGGGAGCGCUCAUUAGGGAUAAAGUCCCUAUGUUGUGGUCAGACUGGGGCGAGGUCCCGCAGGAGGUUAAGGACAUGGUCCACAACGCGAUGUCGGUGAGUUUACAAAAUGUCUCAAUAAUAUUAUGUAUUACAUUGUUGAUUUCUCGAAAAACUAAACUAAUAAACCGUUAAAUGUAGGUGUGGUUUGACAUUCCCGAGCACCUGAAGAACAGCUAGGCGGACGUUGUGCAUGGGGGAAGGUACGUUGGGAAAUUAAUGAAAAAACAAAAUUGUAUGUGAUAUUAAUAAUAUUUCUAAUAUUUUUGUUGUAUCUGUAGGUACAAUGAGUGGAAGAACGAGUUGCGGACCCACUGGACUACGCACGGGAACGCACGUUCUGGUACCCCUGCUGAGUUCCAAACAUGGAGUACGAGUGGCGUUGGCUUCUGACAUCAAAAUUCAACAACCCUCUUAAACAGGCAUUUAAAAAAAUUAAUUAGUUAAUUUAUCAUUAAGUACGUCCGUUUUUAAAUAUUUUACUAAUAAUUUAUUUUUUUCUUUGAAUGCCGUUUCCUGGGCGAACGCUCAAAACCGGCAACACAACACAAGAAACCAUCAUGCCGGUUCUAGACCGUUUGCUGUCUUCAUGGACGAGGCGGCCAAGUAACAUCCAGAAGUCAACCGGUAUGUCUGUACGUACGAGAAGGCAUAUCCUGACGCCCAGGAGGAUAUUGUAAGUCAUUUUACGUUUUUAAAUUUUUAAUUUUACUUAUAUAUAUGUUAAAAUGUUAAUUAAUCAUUUUUUUCCUAUCCAAUUAGGCGAAUGUGAGGGAGGCUAGUGACGAGGUGAUGAGUGCUAUAGUGAGGGAGACAUGGCCGGACACGCAGGAGGAAGAGAUGUCCGAAGACAUGUCCCGGAUCGACACUUCAGAUCCGAGGGUUGGGGCGAGGAUCAUGGGCACAGCCUUCCCACCGCAAGAAAACAACUUCUACUACCAUGGUCUAGGAAAGAUGGGCGAGGGGGUCCUGAAGACCACUUCAGGAUUUCAACGAAAGGCAGCCUCGAUCAGCAGCAAGACGACUCGGCUAGAGUCGGAAGUUGAGAGACUACGGGAACAGCAAGCUGCUCAGGCUGCCGCUCAUGCUGCCCAGAUCACCGCCCAGACAGCCUAUACUGCCGUGGUAUAUGCCACCCAACAGGCCAGCAGCAGCAGAUGUUCCAGUACUUACAGGAAUUUACAGUUGCCCAGCUUCAGGGACUUCCAGCUCCGCCCAUGCCUACGCCUAUAUCGCUACCUCAGUUGCCGCAACCUCCUCAGCAGCAGUCCCUAGAAUCGGAUAUUGAUUUAGACAAUCUAGAUUUUGUGUAGUUGAUCAAUUAUAUAGUUUUAUGUGCUUGUUGUUGGUUAUAUAUAUGAAAUUGUUUUUGUGUAUUUUGCACCUUGCUUGGAAUGGUAAUUUAGAAAUUUCAGGUAUUUUUUUUUUUACUGGAAUAGACUUAUAGCCGACGAAACAUGUAAGAUAUUCAUCGACUAUAGUAUUUUUAAUUUUUUUAUUAAAGGUUUAACCGACGAAUUAUGACAUGUUUCGUCGGCUAAACCCUACUAAAGCUGAUGAAACAGACUAUAUUUCGUCGGCUAUAAUUAUUUUUUAAAUUUUUUUAUUACAUACUUUAACCGACGAAUAUCUUAAAUAAUCGUCAACUAAAGUCUCAGACUAUGGUCGACAAAACAUUUAAGAUAUUCAUCGGCUAAAUUCUGGGACAAUAGCCGACGACGUCUUCUGUCGUCAGCUAAAUACUUGGACAAUAGCCGACGACGUCUUCUAGUUUCGUCGGCUAAAGUCAUCGCCGACGACUCUUUCCCGACGAAACCGUAGCCGACGAAAGGUCGUCGGCUAACAUCUUAACUGACAAAACUUUUUCAUCGGUUAAAGUGCUUGUCCUGAUAGUGGGUCUUCAUCUCGUUUUGAAUUGUCAAUCCCAAAUCUUCUUCUCCUCAAAUUGAACUCUCUUCCCAGUACCACAAUCCGCGUGUCUGUUCACCAGACCAAGGAAAGAAAUAAGGAUAUCCAAGAAUUAAAAGAAAUUGAAAAGAGAAAAGUGUUUCACAUAUCCCAUAUCUUCAUCGAUAUCCAGAUCUUCAUCGAUGUGCAGAUCUUCAUCUUCUCUAGAGAGAGAGAGAGGUCGGCAAAGCUCUGGGGUUUUAGGAACAGAAAAAAGGAUUAAAAUAAAAUUAAGAUAACAAUAUAAUUAAUUAUCAUAAAUAUAUAAUUGUUAGGCAUUUGUCUAGGUGGGUGGGGGUGAGGAAGCAUGGGUGGGAAGCAAAUUUGCUUCCAGCAGCCGCUCAAUCAGCAAUCAGCAAAAUUACUUGGAAAUUUGCAGAGAAGCUUCUUUUCCAGCAGUAUUCGUAUCCAUCAAUAUCAUUAGGUAACAUAUUCGUCCCUGUCUCAUGUUCAUAUACUAGAAAUACCAACCCCCACUUUGCUGGGGGAUUUGUUGCUAACAGCUUUUUAUAUAAGGCAAUAUCAUAGUGCUAAGCCGCUAACAAUAAGUCAAUAAGCAACACAGUAAUGCUAAGGCGCUUUCUGAAGAAGUUAUUCAUCCAAUUAAGCAUAACCGAUUAGCUGAGUGCCGAUCAUAAUGCUAAGACGCUAACAAAAGACAUGCCAAGUCCAAUGCUUGAAGAGAAAGAAGAAUCAAAUGGCCCUUAAUAUUAGUUUGACAAUAAGUCUAUUAAUGUGAUUAUGUGAAAUUGAAAUCAGCAUUGUCUCGGUAGGAUCUUCGAUCUUCAUUAUGUUUACCAUCAGAGAACCCUUAGCUUUCCGCUUCAAGCAUGGCCCUUGUACUCAACAGUAUGUGAAUCAAUCACAUUCAGAUGUAAAAUGUAAAAUGUGGAUUCUAAAUUGCUAAAGUGCAUUUCCAGUAAUUCACAGUAGUACAAUAUCUCACUUACUUUUGUCCAAUUGUAGGUGACUGGAAUCACCUGCAAAAUGAAAAAGCAACCAAUAAAAUUGUAAUUGGACCCUAAAUAAAUUAUGAUAAUUUUAGAAAAGUAAAACCAAGUAACUGACAACCAUUGUACUUCUAUAAGUUAAAAUAUAGCAAGUACAAAGAGAAUUACACUUUUCUGGAAAAGUGGUUGAUGUAAAAGUGCAAGUGCAAGUUAAAGAAACAUAAACAAAAACAAAAACAAAAAGCGCAAAUCAAAUAAUAGCAAAGUAUUGAACUACUUGAAAUUAUGGGUGUACUUUUGCAGAAGCCUGAAUGAGUUUUUGACGCCUUCUUACCAGCUUGAGGAUCUUAGAUAUCUGCAAAAGCAUGAAAAAUGCUGACAUAGAACUCUAAUCUGUAUAUGUACACACAAUUCGAACUUUCCAAGUGAUAAACUAUGUUAGUUAAGUCCACAAUUUGUGUUAUUACAGUUAAAGAAAAUAGUUAAAAGACUGGAUAAAUGCAGAGUUAUACAAAGCCACCAAAGCUUGUUUGGAUUUGAAAUCUUUUUAAUGAGCAUCAGAUUGUUGUAAGUAAACAUCACAUGAGGAAAGCAUCUAUAAUCACAAAACCAAAUAAAAUUAAAAAACUGUCAUAUAAGUCUUUGAAUGAUUCCUUAUUUUGAGCUCAGUGGUUCUGUGAUUCUUUACAACAUCUGAGCAUGGAGAAAUGAGCAUGCAUUUCAGAAUCAUCUGAUGCUAAACAGAUUGUUGACAAUUAAAAGUAAACAGUUCUAGGAAAACAUAUUUUUAUAGAUAAGUGUUUUUAAUAGUAGAUCUGACCAGUAGGGCAACAGUUUUUAUAUGUUUAUGUGCCUAAAGAUGUAACAAAAAAGAAAACGAUGGAGUAUGCUUUACAGUGUUCAGUGAAAAACCUAGAUCAAAUGAACAUGUAAUUUAUACCAUUUACAUAACAAAGGUCAUUCGAACACUUGCUUCUGCCUAGUAGUUUCUGCAUUGAAAAAAAGUUCUUAGAGUGUUCUCUAUAUCAAUUCUUUGCUCUAAGACUGAUAGUCAAGGAUUGCUAAUGAAUCUUAAAUGAGCAGAAAUAAAGCCAAAGAUCACAGAACUAUAGCAACCUCUGAAAUAGCCUCUGACUAUUAGUCAGUGUAUUGAAUGCUCUACUAUAAAGCCAAACAGUAGGAACAAUAAUCUGUCAAAAAUAUUAUGCAAAAAAGGGUCUAAAUUUCAUAUGAAUCUGCAAUCUUGUGAUUAAGUCAUCAACUGUUACUCAUAAUUUAAUCUGAAAAUCAAAACACAUAAUCAGUAUAAUGCAAUAUGAGACCGAACUGAUGUUCUGGUGUAAGUGUCACUAAACCAAAAGUGAUAGCUAACAUGCAAACAAAUCAGAAAGCAAAAAAGUAAAAGUGAAAACAGAAAAGAAAACUUGACAUACUUAACGUACCAGUGGCAAAAAUUGAAAACUCAUCUGCCUAUAGCUGCAUUGUACUUCUUUACUCUUAUUCACUACAAUCACGUAUUCAACAGAACAAUCUUUCGCUGCAUAGAUCCAUAUACAUCUCAUAUCUUGGUUCAACAAUGCUAAAACUCUAUAAGGUUCAGUAUACAUUUCGCGUGUAACUGUGGUGGGCAUGUAUAUUUUGGUAAGGAAAUGACCAUAAUGACCAUAGAAAAAGUUCGUAUAGAAGUAAAACUUAAAUGAAAUCUGGAUUUCAAAACAAUUUGCAUCACAUCCUUCAUCAGCAUACACGAAAUAAACCCAUUUGCGAAUAAUUCAAUUCAAUCUUAUUAGACAUGCAUCCACAUCAAAGCAAAAAGUAAAAUUGAAACCUGGAAACAAAUAAUGAACCCCUCCUCUUCAUCAAUGUAGAAUCGAUGAGCUUCUGAAGCUCAUAACAUGCAAAAUCGCCUUCCUUGCCCAUGACAGGUGAAGCAGAUAGUUACUUUGAAGAGAUAACGAUAUGCAGUCUAUAAUGCAAAGUCUGCAAUCUGAUUAAAUAUGCAGUACGUAUUAGCUUUCCUGAAAGUGUCAGACAUUUGGCACUGAAGUAGAAAGUUACACAAACUAACAAAAAUUCAUACCAACAUAGUUCAAUGUUUAAUAAGAAAACUAUGUAAACAUCGAAAAAUGUUCAGUAAGAAUCCUUAAUUCAUACUUGCAAAUGUAACUUAUUUAUUAACCUCAUGCUCUUCCUCCUCACAUCAUAAACUUAAUAACCCAGGAGUGCCUCUUCUCCUUGCUGAUGAAAAACCCAAUAUUAUACAACCCUCAACACCUGCACAAUCGAAACCCCAAGUCAGUUGUAUACAAAAUUUCAAAGUGAAUUUCAAGAACUGAAAAACUUUUGAGAGGAUAAAAACAUGCAUGAAUGUUAGAUACUUAUGAAAGUAUACCUGAAAAUAAGGCGACUAAUCUAUUGCUAAAAUUCUUCUCUCUGAAUCUCAUAACGUUCUCUACCUUCUUCAUCGUCUCUGCAAUUACAGAAGUGCAACCAAAAUCAAUUCCAUGCUAAGCUCAAAGGGGGAGAUCAAUCGCUGCCCAAUAAAGAAAUAAAGAUAAAAAGACCCAAACCAAGAAGAAGCAUAACUUACAUGAAAUUUGGAUUUCAUAACAACUUGCAUCACAUUGUUCAUCAACAUACACGAAAAUCAAACCAAAAACUGCAUGCAUGAAAAUCAGAUAUGGUAAAUUAUUCAAUUCAAUCUUAUUAGUGUUUAAGAUGCAUCCACAUUAAACGAAAAAAAAAAAAAAAAAAAAAGGUAGAAAUUGUAAUCUGGAAAUGAAUAACGAAGCCCUCGUUUUAUCGAUGGAGAUCAAUGAGCUUCCGAAGCUCUUAACCCUGCAAAAUCGCCUUCCUUCAUGCUGUAAAAAACAGAACCCACAUUAAUUUUCAUCUCUCAAUCUCUAUCAAAAAGAAAACACAAAGGAAAGGAAAACCCGACAACUCACCAACAUUCCAAGACGCCGCAACUGAGAACUGACUGUAUCUGAAUAAAAGAAAAGCAAUAACGCAACACCAAGGGAAAAAUCGUGUUGUUUUUGAUCUUGACAGUGUUCAAGCCAGGAAAUUCUUUCACUCUCGAAGCAGCCUGUAAAGGAAUAAAAAAGACAGAAGGUCUCCAGAUCGCUCUGGUCUGGAAGCUUCAUGAAUGGCGAGGAGAGAAGGGCGAGAAUGGGUAAAUAAAACAGCAACGAAAUGCAGGCCCAAAGCUGUUCAUGUGAACAGUGAUUCGUGAGAUGGUGAACAGUACUUUAGUGUACAGUUCAUCUCAACAAAUAUAUAGGUUAAACUAGAAAUUUGCCCGCGCUCUGCCGCGGAUCUGUCCUACAUUCAUAUUUGUGAAGGCAUGAGGCAUGAUGAUUUCAACAUUUUUGUCUUCUCGCCUGGGAGUUGCUGCAUAUACAUCAACUACGUCAAAGUCGACCUUUCUCUCCCUAGUCUGCAGUUUCUUCUUCUGUUCAAGAAUUCCAGUCAUCUCUUAGUUGCCAUUAGCAGCCUCAUUCUCUGCAAACAACAAAAACAUUCUUCUCAACUUCAGUGUCCGGCUCUACCUCCCUAUUUUUACAAAAUCUAAGGCUUUAUUUCUGGAUUUUCUGCACAUGUAGGCCUUUAACUCUGCAGCUCUCCCCGAAACUUCAAGCUACUCGUAAUAUUCUUUUGCAACUUGAAAUCACUAUGACAAACCAAUCAAUAUUUGUAUUUGUCAUUAUAAGUCAAGUCAAAAUCAGCUACCCUACUGAGACAGUAAUAUCUGCCAAUUGAAGAAAAAAAAAAAAACUACACUAAAGCCAGAAACUCAGAAAACCCAAUAAUCUAAAAUGCAGUACAAAUGUGCACAGUGCCAAAAAAAUAAAGCACCCAUUUUUAUCACUACCAUAAACUAAACCUUCAUAAAAGAACCAAGCUAUAACUCAACAGAAAACAAAUUUUACCAAAAAUAAAGUCUGAGAUAACAAAGAUACCAAUUAAGUUUCUCAUUUUGCAAGUUUAAAAGUUAAUGUUGAAAACAAUAACAACCUGAAAAGCUAAUAUUGCAUGGAAUCCAAAUUGAUAUUAAAGGAUUAGCAGAAAGAAACUAUAGUUUAAACAUGCCUAAACUCUCUUUCAAUGAAUUACCAGUGAAAAACUAUCUUCCAAUCAAGCAUGUGUAUAUGAAUAGUUGAAUACCCAAUUACACAUGCAUCGUGUUAAAUGUAUUUUUGGUUUUCUGAGCAGUGUUACAACAUCUUCAAAGUCAUAGCAGAGCAUCCUUACAGUGAAACUAUGAAGCAAAAAUGAAGUGAGUGAUUCCUCCAAACAUCAAAUACUCAUCCCAGAGGUAGUACAUACCAAUAAUUGAACUGUAAAAAAAGAAUAUCAUAAAGGCAUUUAAUUGACCUUAGGAAACUUCAAAAAAGGAAAAGAUAUUGUCAAAAACAGAUCAUGUACUUAUACAGUACAAAUGAUAAACUUCAUAAGUAAGUUUCAGAUAUCAGAAUUUAGUAAUGCUUUUGAAGUACUGAGUGUACUAAAAGUAUUCCACAUUGAGUACUUAAUUGCGCAAGUUUCCUAACCCAGCCAUGAACAGGAUCAAAACUUAAUCAUGGUUUCUUAUCUUACCUCAUAUAAAAGCUUGUCAGUCCAAGAACAUUGUCUCACCACUGUCUUAAUGUUGCUUUUUAAGUACACUCCUCCAUUGCUGUGAAAAAUGAAGGUGGUGGCUGUUUAGUGUAGAGAAAAAAAUUGUAAGAGACUGUAUUAUGUAGUGAGUGGUAUGUAUUUAAACACUACACAGAAAUAAUUGCAACAGGCAACUGGUAUGGAGACAAUUCAUAGGUGUCGAUACUCACCUAUUCAAUCUGGAUAUCCAAUAUUCUAGUCAUGCAAUCUGGAUCACUAUUGUAGGUAUCCACAAAUCUCAGCUGCACCAAAAAGGAAACAUACACAUAGGAGCAGAUUAUACAGUGUCUGAAAACAUAAAGAAAGACUUAAUAAUCCUAACAGAAAGCAACUAUACACUAUCAUAUCACAUCCAUUUUGAGAGGCCAAAAUGAUGGUCAUGGUGUCAGGAGGAUCUUAAUAUGGGUUAGUUUUACUCUUUUGCUAAAAGAGAAAUCAUCUUAUGAAAACACAACACGGCUUUAAUAGUACAAAUGGUAUGUUUAGCAACAAUACAUGUAAAACUGAAGUUGAAAACAGUAGCAAGUAAAACAAAUACAGAGAAUUGGGAAUUCAAAAUGCACAGGACUUAUGUGGGUUAAACAGGAAUACCUCUACCAUGAGGACGCCAGGCCUACCUCUCUGGGAAAUGGUAAGGGAAAAAGUUCUCAUUGAUCGUCGCAUCGUAAUAGCAACUGAAACACCUGGUUGUACUCGAUCUCCCUAUCCACGUACCAAAAGAAAUGGAAACCUGCAAAACACCCAAAAGCCACAAAGAUCGAAACUUUAGAAAUAAUCACUAAAACCAUUCAAUACCCACCAACCAAAAAUACAUCAGAAACCAAGGCCACUCACCUGUGAGGCAAGAUUUCACAUAUCUAAUUGAUACCAAUCACUGUAAGAAAAGCUGGGAAUUAUGAAAUAAGAUAAAGAUCAGAUUAGUGCCACUGAAUGAUUUGCUAAAACAGAUAAAAAGCAAUAAAAUUGAUUUCUGAAUUUGUGUAAAGCGAUAUAUAAGAAAACAAUCUGCAUAUUAAUAGUUUCACUGGCAAUAGCCCACAACCCCCAAGAAGAGCCUAUACAGUUCACACCAGUACUGUGAAUGAUUCAAGAAGACACGUAUAUAGACAAUGAUCACCAAGAUUGAAAUAUAGGCAAUGCAAGUAGUCCAUUGAUUUGUUAAUGAUUUGAUGCAACCAUCUCUCCAAAUAGCACAAAGCAUAUUGGACACUAAUUCUAUAGCUCUGGCACUUCAUUAAAGACUUAUGGAGAACCAAAGCAAUAAUGUAAUAAAUCACCUAUUAUGAACUACCUACUUGCACAACAAAACAACAUAUCUGUUAAAUUAGGAAGCUACAUAUGAAAUGGUUGAAGGGUGGAAAACAUGUAGAAGUGAAAUAAUACUCCCAGAUCCCUAUUUAAAUUCCAAUGACCAUAACUUGAUGUGAAAAGCAGAAUAAAAACAAAUCUCAGAUAAGGAUCCAAUUCAAUUGAAAGGCAGAAAACAAAAAACUAUACGGGAGGAAAUUCAUUCACACAAGACUCAUUAACCAUUAAGACAUAGCAAAUUCCUUUUUUAAAGCCUAUAGACUCCAUGGUGAUAAGAAUGGCAGCAAUUAAAAUUCCUAACAAUCAACUUACCAUUCAACUCCAAAAAAAUGUUAUAAUUUUUCCAGGGACUCAAUUUGUACAGAAAGAAUAAGAAGAAAAGAUAGAACUCAGAACUCAGAACCCAAUCACAAUUCACAAUCUUCUGUGUAAACUUUAAAAUGAAAAAUCAAAGUUAGCUACUCUCCCUCUACUCCCUUCUCAUAUGUAAUUCCACAAAACCCAACUCAAAUAAAAACCAACACAAAACCCAGAUUGAAAAAGUGCGAAAUCACCCCCAAAAGCUUCAUACACAGCGCCCUGCAUUGCAUGCAACUAAAUUCAAACAAAUCACCCAAAAAACGAGCUUAACUGAAACUCAAAAUCUGAAGAAUAUCUGAUUGAGCAAUCAGAUCUUCUAUUUUGAUCAAAAGGGUGCCACAUCAAUCAGAUAUUCCUAUUUGAUCAAAUGACCUCAAAGAUCACAAUUCACACACUAUCCAGAAUGCUAUGGAAACUUCAAACAUAGAAAAUGAAGCGUUGGAACCUUAAACCCCAAGUUCCGAUUUGUAUUGAACAUUCGAGAGAAAGACUGAAGAAGGAUUGAGAGAAAGCGGUGAACAGCAACCGACCCGACUGGCUAUCAACUUCUAGAGAGAGAGAGAUUUGAUGGAGAGGAACAAAUCUUGGGCGGAGAAGAAUCUAGAGAGUUUGAGGGAGAUAAAGAAACCUCGGCGAGAGAGAGCGAGAAGCCUCCAGAGACUGUAAAGAAGAUACAGCGGAAAACAAAAAAAGAACACCGAGGCCCAGUACUGUUCUUUAUGAUCAGAACCACCCCGACGGAAAAUAGUAUAUGUUAAACUAGAAUGUGUUGCACCGGGUUGUAUAAGCUUAGUGUUAUAAUGUUAAUAACAUAUAUGAAGCUAGUAGAAACCGAUUUCAGCUGUUGACUUGAAUAUUGAUAUAAGACAGCUUUAUUCUUAAGAAAUUGAUAUAAGGCCUGGUUCUAAAAAUAUGAUCAUCAAAAAAGUUUGUGCAGCCAUCAAAAUAAGCUUACUGGUCAUUUCAGUAUACAAUAAUCAUUUCAUUGUUACACUACAUAGUGGGAGACCUCAAAAUAGGCAAGUGUUCAAAAAAUCUAUGUUCCACGCUGCUGGACCAAUGUGCUUCCUCCACUUCUAUCUAGACAAAAAGUGUGAUGUAGAGCACUUCUAAACACACUUCCCACCAAUUGGGACCGGAUUUUAAAGGCCUACCUUCAAAUGACCCUUACGUAAUUCUUAAUCAGUCCCAUCAUAAUGAAAUAAAGAGAACAAUAAAACUACCACUGAUAUGCAAGACCUAGCACUGAUAAUGAUAGACUUUUCAAUAGUGAAACUUACAUAGUAAAUUGAUGACAUGAUUAAAGUAUAGAAACCUCACCAAUCUCGAUCAAUCUUAAACUCUUGAUCAAUGUCAAUUUCAACGCUUUGCAACUCCAGUAAUCACUGAGGACAAUCGAAAGAAACUGUGAAGAUCAGAAGACAGCUGUAGAGUUAGUGCAUAUAUAAAUCAUGCUCAAGACAAUCAGGGAAUGUAUAUUAUGAAUGAUGAUGUUAUACCAAGAUUCAUACCCAAGUAUAAAAUAGAAAUAAAACCUGUCACCACACUGUUCACCAACUCUGCACAAUGAACAGCUAGUGUUCAACAGUUACUUCAUCAACUGGCCAAAAACCAUAAGAUUUACUAUCUACUCACCUUUUCCCCAAUGCUCAGAACAAAGAUAAAUAAAAUGAGUAGCAAAUUUGAUAUAACUCCUACAUGAAAAGCAGACUAACAAUAAAUCUCAGAUAAGGAUCCAAUUCAAUUGAAAGGUAGCAAAACAAAAAACUAAACGGGAGCAAAUUCAUUCACACAAAACUCAUUUACCAUUAAGACAUAACAAUUCCUUCUUUUUAAGAUUGACUCCAUGGUGAUAAGAAUGGCAGCAAUUAAAAUUCCUAACACAUUGAACUCCAUAAGAAUGUUAUUAUUUUCUAGGAACUCAAUUUGUACAGAAACAAUAAGAAGAAAGGACAGUUUCACUUUGACGAAUUCAAUUUGCAAGUAUGAGUAUUUGUGACUUAUUUGACCAUAUAUCAAAGAAUACUAGUAUCAGAGCUCAGUUACAAUGAGAAAAGGGAACGUUUAUUAUCGUUUCAAUUAAACGUACCUUUAGGCUUCAGGAGCAGAUAUUCCAUUUACUCCUCUGCGUGUACCAUGAUUGCAGAGUCCUCAUCCUGUAAAUACAUAACAAAUACAUAUCCUGCAAAUACAAUUUGUACAGCCUAUCGAUGGUAUGCAAAUCCUUUCUAGCACCUAACCCCUAUGAUUCAUAUGAAAUUUUCCUGAUUCUCAAUUGUUUUCAGCUGCUAUUUCUGCAUUUUACUCCCCAAUAAUUAGAGGUAAAAUAUGAAAAGAAAGGAAUACCAGCAGCAAGGAUUGCACAAUCCUUUUAUGUUCUUGUUCACUCGCCAACACUGACUUGGGCAGUUGAACAGAUCCAGCCACCAUAAACAAUAAAGUUUAUCACAUAUUUAGUUUAUAUUAGGCACCACAUUAAUCAACCAGUCUUGAAAUCCUUUAGUUUAAAAAGAAGAUAUAAUAAUUCCUUUCAAAAUAAAAAGAUGUGAUACAAUGGAAUUCUAAUGCUGUAAGUUUGUAGUUUGUUUAUCAGUAAAUUGAGUUCUGAACUUAGAUGAAAAGUGGUCCAUGCCUUUGUUCUAUACAUAACUUGAAAAUCAAGAUAAAUUAAGAUGACAGAGCCCACAGAUGCAGAAUUUAAGCAGUGAAGUCACAAAAAUAGGCAAACUAAUGGUCAAAAAGGCAAAAUAGAUAACCUGCAAAUCUAAACACCUGAAAAGAAUCCAUUAAUCAAACCAUAAAUCCAUGAAAUAAUGUUUAUGUCUCAUUACCAUUGAGGCACUCCAGAUUUGAUAGAAUGAACACAUGUAUCAAAAUAGGCCAUAAAUUGCAAUAUGUUAUCAAAGCAGACCAUAAUCCGUUAUAAAGAGAGAAGGUUUCAGCUAAAAUCAGCACAUCCUAAUGAACCCCACAAAAUCAUCAAAUGAAACCAACUAAUCCAAUAUUUUAGUAAAAUGUACAUGCAUUUCUUCAUUGAGAUGAUCCAAGGACCCUCUUACAUAAUAUGGCAGUACACAAACCAAAAAACAGAAAUUCAUUUUACGAUCGUGACUUGAAACAAUGAACAGCAACAUAACAACUUAGUAAGCCAAAACACAAAUAGCUCAUCACCUUCAGAAUUAAGCCAAUUAUUUGCUGCAGCACACUCUUGGCAUCACUAUCCUUUGAGCUUAUUAUAAUCACAUGAUCAUCAUGUCUCUGCACAAAAAAAAUUAUAUUCACAAAAACAGAAUUGGAUUGAAUUAACAAAACUCAUAAUGAAACAGAGAGAGUUACAUACGGCUAUGGUGCCGUCGAUUUCGAUAGUGGCCCUGGAAACGAAUAAUGAAAGCCCUCAUUUUAUCGAUGUAGAAUCGUUGAGCUUCUGAAGCUCGUAACCUGCAAAUUCGAUUUCCAUCUUGCUGUUAAAAACGAAACCCAACAUUAAUUUUCAUCUCCCACUCUCUUUCAAUAAAAAAAACAGAAGAAAGGAAAAAUCAACAAAAGCAUUCCUGGGAAGCACAACUCACCCGUUAGCAAUAAAAUUGGGAAGAAACGAUUAUCAAUUAGGAAUCGUCUUACACCCAAUUGUUUUUGAACUGGUAUUCACUCUCACUCCCCAGGAACCCAGAAUCACCUCCCUUUCUACUUACUGCUGACAAACCCAAUAUCAGAACCCUAAACCCCAAGUCAGAUGCGGUGCCAAUCUCGAUAAAGAAAUUUGGAAGAAACUAGAAAUAGUUCAGAUAUGUAAUGAAGAUUCGGGAGGAAGACUGAAGAAGGAUCGAGAGAAAGAGGCACAUAACAACAGCGGGGCAGAACCGCAACACAGAGAGAGAGAGAGAGAGAGAGAGAGAGAGAGAGAGAGAGAGAGACGACGACGACGACGACGACGACGAGAGAGAGAGAGAGAGAGAGAGAGAGAGAGAGAGAGAGUAGAAGGAUAAGAGAGGGGAAAAGGAAAAGGUGUUGAGAUCGAUCUCGAUUCUUCUGUAGGUGUGCCGAGAGAGAGAAAGGGCAAAACAAAAGGGAGAGAGAACAGAAGGUCUGCAAGUGAACAGGAACCGACCCUGACGCAAAAUAGAUAUACUAGCAAGAUUGCUCGCACGAUGCUCCGGGUACAUUACCAUUAGGUACACUAUAAGUGCGUUAUACAUUACACAAUUAGUAUGCAUGUUAUCAAAUCUGAUACUUAAGCCAGAUUUCAAAUCUCAAACAUGUUAAGCAAAUAGUUCAUAUUACAAAAAGUUUUGGAACUCUGCAGAGAAACUUGCAGUUCAGACUAUGCAUCUUUAGCUGGUUCAUUGUUCACAGCAUUUGUUGGUUUUGACUCCACAUCCAGAUGUAAAAUAUGAAUAGUAAAUUAGGUAUCUGCAAUCAAAUAGUAAUAUGAAUGUAAAAUAUGUUGCAUCUGCAUUAAUUCAAAGUAGCACAGUAUCUCACAUCCAUUUGCAGUCCAAUUGCAGGUGUGAAAAAGAAUUUACAUUCAUGUACAUAAAUGACAUCUCAGGUAUAUCACAGACCAAAUUCAAUCAUAACAAUGAAAUUGUAAUAGGUUUCGAUAUUAUUAACAAUUUAUGAUUAUAAGAAAAUGUAAGACGCAGGCUGCCCUUGGGAAUUAUAUUAACAAAUAGAAACAUCUAAUCUGCAUUAUCUAUCUGUAAAAAUUUGCCAAUAUUAGGAAAAACCAAAAAGGACCAAAUGUUCAGAGAUUGAUCAUUUUAAUCUAUUUGCUGACAUAAUCCAAUAAAGUCAAUUACCUAAGCGGUUUUGCUGCCUCAAUAAGAUCAGUAGACAUUUCCCUAUUGAAUAAAAUCAGGCAGUCAGAACUAUAAUUCCUACUGUCGAAAAUUGCAGGCACAUUUUUCUCUUCUGUUACCAACUACAAACGAUUAAUUGGUAAUGGAAAGGUAGGAAGACAGAAGAUGUGGAUACUCAUACUCAGAAGUUCAAAAUUUAGGAACAAAGCUCAAUUCUCAAAGCAGCUGAUCUGAGCGAAAAAUGUUAAUUCAUCACAGCAUGUUCAUCCUAGGCAUCAGACAUUUCAAAAGGCACGUCCUUGAUCAAGAAAAACCGAAAACCCACCAUCAAUCUCAGUGUAAUAUAAUCUCAUUUCAAACUUCCUACCUCUAAACUAAUUUUAAAUUUGGCAAUUAUUACCAUCUACAUUCAGAUUUUGUAUUUAAAUUCAAGCUAAUCCUUCUACAAAUCCUAGCUCCUAAGCGAAACACAGCAUACAAUGUAUUACCAAUCAAUAGAGCAAAUGCAAUACGCCUCAUAACAUUUUGGUAUAUUCAUUGUACUUCUAGUCUGAAGCAUUAAAAUUGCAGCUAGUUUAGUAUAAUUCUUUGUUAGGAAGUACCUUUUGUACCUUUUCCUUUUCCUUCACUCACUGGCUUUCUCUGUGUCAAGCUAAUAACUGAAAUCUAAAGAAGCCGUGGAACAGACCUCUUCGCUCUCAGAUGAUCACAAUCGUAUUGGUAUUUGAUUACAACCUGAAAUAUAAAAAGGGAUAUAAGAUUGCAUGUAACUGAAAAAUAAAAAAGGAAACAUACAAAUAAAGGCAAGGUCUUCAUCACCAACAAAAGCAAUAACAAAGUCCAUCCUUACACUGAUUUUAAUUUUUUUUCUUGUGAACAAACAAAACAAUACCUCUUGAAAUGAAGAUUUUAUAGCUCAGGUAUAGAAGUCACCUCUUCUUUCGUUUCUUCUUCUUCCGCCUCUUAUCAUCAGUUUCCAGUCUCUCUUCUUCAUCGCUAUCAUCUACUAAGAACAAUGCAUCAAUUUAAUCAUACAAACAUUACACAUAGAAUUACAAAAAAAUCAUGAAUUUCAAUCAGAGAACAUUCCAUAGCCAUUAAACUCAAGAUAAAGCUGGUAUCAAUAGAGUAGCAGCAUGCCUUUGUUUUUGCAUGAAGGAAAGAUGCUUUAGCACCAAAUCACAGCAUUGCUCAAUCCUGCCUGAGAAACUGACAACAUUAAGCCAAUCUGAUUUCCAAGUACUAACUACCAUGCACACACAUCAGACAACCUUUGAACAUGUAAACUACUUUGGCAAAGUUUGAUAUGCGUGUAUGAGAAGCUUCAUUUUACUACUAAGAAACAAAUAGGGACCCUGUUUUAAAAUGUAUCGUUUGUCAAUACAAAGUAAGAUGACACAUUGUGCACUUUAUUAUGAAGAGAAAAUUAAGCGCCAAAAAAUGUACAGAUGAGUAGAAACUCUAUCCUGUCCCAGCAGAAAUACUUGGCGAUUCAGCUAUGAAAUUUCACUAUUUACAGCGCGACAAAAAUGCAACAAUUUUAAUCAGUAAACUAAUUGAAGGAAUGAGAAGUAGAGCUUGGUGGCUAAGUUGUGUGAAUACCUCAAUGAAAAAAAAAAAAAAAUCCAAUUCCAUCUUACACCGAUCUUAUGCUCUAAAUUCAUGUAUACCAGAAAACCACAAUAGAAGAGGAGACCUUAUGGCAUAUUUUGUCAUGGCUAAGGCUUGAUCAAGGACUCCUCUAAUUCAACAUAUCAGAGAUAUGCACCAACUUUAUGGUUGUAAACACAAACCUGAUGAAUUUAAAUAUAUUAAUACCAUAUAGCUAAGACUUGAAGACCACCAACACAAACCUUUGAGUAGAACUGAAAAGAAAGCCACCGGCAGAUAAACUUGUACUCACAGGUCUCCUUGCCACAGCUUGUAGUAGUUGUUUGUCAUCAUAUAGGGGGUCUUAUUGAAAAGAACCAAUUGCCACAACAAGCAUAUUCGCCUAUAUGAAGACAUAUUAGCAAGUAUAAGAAAUCAAAGCAUGAUUCUUAAGAGAAAUGUUAAGUACAGUAAUAAAGUAAUCAAGGGUGGAGGCAGCUGGAAGUCAAAGAAGUUGAUACAUUUUUCUCAUUGCAGUACAUAUCCCAAGCUUGAUAUGGGUAAUCCAUAUCAAUGUCAAUUCCAUUGUUUUCUAAAACAAACUGAACUACAAUGCCUACUUGAACGCCGUUGCAGCCUCUAGUUGUGAGAUCUCUGUUACAAUCUAUCAAUUUUGCUCAGAGAGGCUAAAAUCCAGUCACAAUCUUGUCGGCACCUUCAAUGGCACCAAUAGCCGAGCAGGUCCAAGAAGAACCUAGCUACACAGUCCAAAACAGGAAUUGCUUUGAACUAUUAAUUAAGAGAGUAACACUCAGAUAUCAUUUUUACACCAAUAUCGUCAAAUGAUGCAAGAAGAUGCAUCUAUCGGCAAUGAGCACCAAGAUUGAAAAACAGGCAAAGCAAGAAAUCCGUUGAAUGGUUAAUGGUCUAAUGAAACCAUUUUUCCAAAUAGCACAAAGUAUGUGUUAUAGGACACUCACAUUGUAGCUCUGGAAAUUCAUUAAAGACUUACAAUUCAACUAUUAUAAACUGCACUCUAUACAUCAAAGCUAAAAGAAAAUAGGGUCUACAAACAAAUCAUUGCAUGAUGCUUCUGCUUUCAUAUUGGACAAUGUGAAUGCAAGAAUAGAAGGUUUUCCCUUUUUCUGUUUCUUUCAUAAUGAUUCCCACUAUAAAUUUCAAACAACUUUUCAUUCUUCAAACACAGCAUUGUAUCAGAAAAACGGCUAAAUAAGAACACUAUCAAGCAAUAUUAUCUCGUUCAAAUUGGACAAUGAAUUCAGCUAUUUAAAACUUCAGCAUACCAUCGAAGCAAUUGCGCUGAUACUUACAACCGGCGCGCUGCCGCGGUUACUUUUUUGUGUAGUAGUAGUAGUAGUAUGUCAACACCUGAAACAGGAAGGAAUAUCAUUUAUUGGUGCAGAGUUUUCAGGAGAAAAUAAGAAAAACAAUAUCUCCAGUUACGUUAUAUAUGACUAUAUGAAAAACAAUAUUUCCAGUUCUCAAAAAAAAGAAGGAAAGCAAUAUUUUUUCCAGUUACCGAGCCAUCCUUCCUACAUUUUUACACAACUUAAAAAUAAAAAAAUAAAAAUAAUAAUAAUAAUAAUAAUAAAUAAAUAAAGACACAUUGUGAAGGCACGGGCAUGAUACCUACUACUUCAGACAAAAUUAUCAAGAGGACACUUUGUGAAGGCACGGGCAUAAAAAAUAAAAAAGGAAUAUCAUUUAUUGGUGCAGAGUUUUCAGGAGGAAAUUAGAAAAGCAAUAUCUCCAAUUACGUUAUAUAUGACUAUAUGAAAACAAUAUUUCCGGUUCUCAAAAAAAUAAAGGAAAGCUAUAUUUCCAGUUACCGAGUCAUCCUUCCUACAUUUUUACAUAACUUAAAAAAAUAGUAAAAAAAAAAAACACUUUGUGAAAGCACGGGCAUGACACCUACUACUUCAGACAAUUCCUUUUUUAAACUACUAAGAUUCGGUGGUAAAAGGCAUUGGUCUGCCUAUUUCUAACACUCAUUUGUUUCUAUAUAUCCUUUAACUUUCUAUAAGAUGACAAUUCUAUGUCUAAACUAUCUCAUUGUCUCUAAAGACUUCUCUUGCAUCCGAUAUCACCCUUGAAAAUCAUAGGUACUCAUUUCUAAGUACAAUUGUCCAGUACAAUGUAACCACUUUUUAAGUGAAAUAUCAUUAGUUAACUGUUGGUUAAAAAAUUCUAGAGAAGGUACAAUGUCAAACAACUGCAAGUACAACAAUGGAAAUCUAAAUUGGAUAGAAAAUUGCUCACCCCUGAGAACCAACUCAAUUAAUCUGAGAUAACCCCCACGCUGCAACAGCUCAGCAACAAUUCUAUCCGGCUCAGUCAAGUCUCUUUUCUUUUGAUAAUACAGCCUCCUUCAUACAACAAUAAGCAAAACGUAUGUUUAAGUCAAAUCCACGUAUUAAAAAGGGAUCAAUCUAAUACUCUAUGAUUUACAUUAAAUCUGAUAUCUAAAUUUGCCACUUUAGGCAAUGCCUAUGUACUCUACAAUCAAACACAAUUACAAACCUAACCAACUAAAAGCAACUUAAUUUCCCUCUGUAAACAAUAAAGCACACAGAAAAGAAAAGAAAAAACCACCAACUAAAAAAUGACAGCAAAGAAAAAAAAAAUCGUGAAAAAUAACUCACAUUAAGGAGGUCACUACUUCAUUACUGUGAAAUCUGGCAAAACAACAAAUGUGAAAUAAAAAUUAAUUAGGAAAGAUCCUGCGAUCAACAAUAAACCCAAUCUUCAUUAUAUAGAACUUAAAAGCAGAACAACAUAUCUUAACAGUUUUAUGAGAAAAAGAUAACCCCACUUAUGAUUGUUUCAAUCAAUGAGUCCAUAAAGCUCACCUACUGCACAUGCUCUUAAAAAAAAUUUAGGCAGAGAGCUUUGACACAUUAAAACAAGUUUAAUCAAUGAGUCCAUAAAGCUCACAAUUUUAGGCACAUUAAAAAAAAUUAGGCAGAGAGCUUUGAACACUCAUUCGGCAAGUUCUAAAACUCAUGACAGUCAAAAGCUGUUUAUAAAUACAUUACAGAGAGCUAAAUAGAGCAAAGACAUGUACACCAAUUUGAAGAAGAUAAACCUAUAUAAACCAUACUGUACUUGCAGAUCAGUUAUCUAUGAAUCAAUUCAAAACAGAACCAACCACAUCCAUCAAACUUGAAAUACUAAGAAAACAAACACUUUAAUAGCAGAAGAGAAACACAAAUCCUCAUACCUGUCUUAUAGCGUAUUGUCUAGAAGCCCAAAUCUUAAAACCUCAACUGCAAAAAAAGAAAGAAAGCAAAAACAAACUCAGGAUCAGUGUCAAUUAGAUUGGUGUUUGCUCACAGCCUGAAAUACAAAAUGAGAAAUAGGAUUGUGUUAAAUGAAAAAUACAAAAAUAAAAUCUUGUUCAAAAAAAAAUGAACAAUAAAAAAGAAAGCACAAAAACAAAAACAAUCUUAGCAAGGACUCUGUCACCAGUGAAAGCAAUAGAAAAUUAACAUAUGAAAACAACAGAUUACUCACUAAAAAUUCAAACUCCUUCACAAUUUCAAUAACAACUUCCAGCUCCCUCUAAAAGCAGAAUAAAUAAUCAAUAUGGUUCUUAUAACACGGCCCAUCUGUUAAUGUUUUUACAGCCCCUCUUUAUAAAAAUAUGGGAAACCUAUAAAAAUAAUAGUUCAUACAGAAUUAAUGGAUGAUAGAAAAUGUAAAACUAUAUUGUGAUCACAAAAUGUAAAUCAGUAUCUCAGUUCAAACUUAAUAAAGAAGAAAUUUUGGAAAAAGAAUUGGACUUUGAAUAUUCAGGUAUUCUAUAGGAUGUCUUCCCUUUGCCCCUUCAAUUCUCUCCCAACACCCAAAUUGGAUUCUAUCUCAAUUCGAUCACACUUGGGCAUCACACUUCUUUGGCAAUUUGUGUAGUUUCAUUCAAAGCAACAUGGAUAGAAAUAGAAGUUGUAGUUCUUCUCAACAUCAAAGCAACAUAGAUGAAAUGAAGUCAUUUACACCCAUUUUCCAUAAUGGCACUGCUCACUCCAUAUGCACCACAGAAAACUGCAUGCACCAAUACUGAAAACAAAAACAAAUGAAGCAAAUCAGAAACCUACCUACAGUUCCUUGAUAACUCAAUCCAAUACUCCAACUCCAACCUGUUCACACAAACCAAAAUGAAUAUACAAUCUGCAAGACUGCAACUAAUCCAAAACACAUGUAUUCAUGACUCUUAAACAGAUAGAGUAUCAAAGCUGGCAAAAUCGAUUAGAAAACCUGUAGAGACAUGAAGCAAGCAAAAAGAAAAUUGCUGGUAAUUAGACGAAAUUAAAAAGAGAAAAGCAAAAAUACAGAACCACUUACCCAGAUUCUCUUGUCUUGUCUCAGCCCAACACAUAUUAACGAAGACCCGUCUCUUCCGCACAUCAAAAACUCAAUAACCCAGAAUCUCCUCUCUUCUCCUUAUCACAACCCCUAAACCCAUGCACCAUCGAAACUCCAAAUCAGUCUAACCGGAAGAUAAACGCACACAAUGACGACGACAUGCAGAGAGAGGUGUCUCUCAAAUGUGAGGAAAUACGAGAGCAAAGAAAGCGAGGGAGAACAACAGAACUAAUCGAAGAAGAAGAAUGAGGCCGCAAAAAAAUUUAUACUAACCUGUGAAUAUCAAGCUCUUUGUUCCUUUGCUCUCAAUUCUCCAGCAGAGAUUUUUGAGAGGAAAAUGGCUGAGUAAAAGUUCUUUUGCUCUCGAGCUCUUUUUAGCCAAAUUGCUGACUCGUUUUCACUUGGUGUCAAUUUGCUGUCAAUUUGCUACCUAGAUUUUAUUACAAUGAAUUUGCUACCUUAAUUUUUCAUAAUUAAUCAAUUUACUAUUUUAACUAAUAUUUAUGUUAAUUUGUUACCUUAUGUUUUUAAAAUUAACCGAUGUGCUAUAUUUUUAUUAUUUUAAUUUAUUUAUUUCUUUAUUCAAACAUAAUUUAAUUCUAUUAGCCACGCCGUUGAUACAGUAGAUUGUUUUCAUAUUAUGAGCUAAUAGAAGGGAAAUGAAGCACAAGGUUAUUUUGGUAACUAAAUCAGGAAUUUGGCAUGGCAAGUGCUGAGUUGGCAUAAUUUUAUUGGAAUUUUAUUGGUCAUGUCAGCAACAUAACAAAACUUGGACGGAAUCGACCAAUUAGUUGAAAAUUAGAAAUAGACAGAAAUUAAAAGGUGACAUAUUGAGUGAAUAAAAAUAUAGGGACUAAACAGUAUUUAGCUCUUUAAUAUAUCAAAUUUAGUCCAACAAUAUUAUAUUUUCAUAAUGUGUGAAAAUUAAUAUAUACUUAAAUGUAAUUUUCACUUGGUUUGUUUUUCCUUUAGCCACUUUUAAUCUAAAACAAAAAUAAAAGAAUAUACGAAAAAAAGUUGUAAGAAAAACAUAAAAUACAAAACUGACAAGCAUUCAUGUCCACUUUGUUAAUCAAAGCCGUCUGAACUCUACCAGAUAAGUGCACACAUUUCACAUUUCCGAUACUGGUGAUUCUUGAUCACCAAUAAGCAAUGGUCCAUAAAAAGGAAUAGCAGAAUGAGUGGGACUCAAGAAUGUCAUGUUUACUUAUUCAACAUCCACCACACCCUAAUCACUAACCAAAGGAAAUCACAGCACCGAUGACAAUACAAACGGGCGCAAUGGAUUUAGAAUCUCAGAGUUUUUAAACCGAUCACUUCAAGUUUCAAACAACGACUGAAGAUUUCUUUUUCCGCUUAUACACAUGGAGUAUGGGAGUGCCAUCAACCAGUCUGAGAGACUUCACGACUUCAGACAUCUGCAAGUCUAUACUUGGCUGUUCAAGUUCAGAGAAACAGGAAAAACCAUUUAGUGUUGUUGUUAAAUGUUGCUACACAGACGUUAAGCUGUGUUUAUAGAAUUGACUACCUGUAUACAGAGGGAGAUAAUAUCAGCAAAAUUUGAGAGAGCCCUCAGGGAACAAGACAUUCUCAUUCUUGGAUCGAUCAUCUCUUCCAGACUCUCAUAGUCAUGAAGCCGCAAUGAAGAAAAUUUCAUCAUUGAUUGCUCUUCCCUUGGUUUUGAACUAUGCCAUAAACAAAGGAACAAUGUUCAGAAUCAAGAAACAUGUCAAUUGUAUUUAUAAAUAGGAGAAAGGCACCUGAACAAUGCGUACCUAUCAAAAGCUUUCCUUCCUGUCAAGAGCUCCAAAAGCAGCACUCCGAAGGCAUAGAUGUCACUCUUUGUGUUAUCAAAUCCUAGUAGGCCAUGCUCAGGUGCAAUGUAGCCAGUGUCACCAAUAGCAUCUUCUGAAGCCUGUCACCAAAAGCGAUUACAUAUUAGACUAAUGCAGUUUGACAGCAAAUGUCCGAUUACAAAUUAUAACUGGAUUUAUUGUCAGUAUAUACCUUUAGUUCAAGACUAUCGCUCGUAAGUGGCCCCAAAAUAGCAAGCCCGCAGUCACAAAUAUGAGGAGCAAGGUUUUCAUCGAGUAAGAUAUUGGCACUCUUCAAGUUGCCAUGAGCAACAGGAGACGACAACGUAUGUAAAUAGCUGACAAGGUCAAUUUCAAAGAGACUCAAUUAAAUCUAAAUACGUAAGUAGAAUUCAUUAUGUAAUAACAGUAUAAAGCGCUUACGCUAAAGCUUCAGCAACACCAAGAGCAAUCUGGAGGCGAAGCCCCCAGGGCAGACUAACAGUGUUACCGCUGUGAAGUGCUUCAUCAAGGGAUAAAUUUCUGACAUAUUCAUACACAAGAAGGUGUUGUCCAUGCUCCACACAAUAGCCAAGAAGUGGUACGAUGUUUGGGUGCUUCAAUUUUGACAGAGUCCAAACAAGAUCCAGGAAUUUUUCUUCUUCAUGGAAAGACUGUACAGACAUCUUCAUGUUCUUAACAACCGAUAUCUAAAACAAAGAAAUUGCAGUCAACAUUUCUCAUAAGAUAUAAAAAAAAUCUAAAAUAAUUCUAAAGGACGAAUCAUGUUCAUACUUGGCCAUCAGGAAACUCGGCUUUGUAAACAGAACCAAGUGAUCCUUGGCCCAGAAACUUUUCUUCCGUAAAGCUGUUUGUAGCUUUCUGAAGCUCUGCAUCAGAAAAAAUUUUAAGACCCCCUACAGAACUGGAAUUCCUAUAGAGGGGAAGAAGCCUCCCCCCGGUAGGAAUUAGUGCAUUUACUCCGUGUUAUUAGAAGUGGGUUUUUUGUAUUUUUAAAUUUGAUCAUGUGCUACUAUGUAAUUUAUCUUUUUUUUGGACGGAUGAAGAUGAAUACAAAGGGGCAAGUCUUCCUCUUUUGUUCUUAUCUAGAUGAUGGAUAAAAAUAAUAACACCUUUUUAACAGGAUAUCAUAUCAUGGUCUAACAAGAUUAAAAAUUUCUGGUUGGCUGAUGUCUGGACAUAUAAACACUAGAUAGGAACUACUCCGUAACCCCAAAAAGGCGUAGGAGUAGUGAACUAACGGAGGUGUGUUAGAGAGCCUAUUUUAGAGUUUGGAAAUAUAUGAUCUUGUCAAACCACCGUAUCCGGCCAAUCGGGCCAAACAAACGGCCUCUUAUUGUCAAUUAUACUAUAUACUAAAGGGUGGUUAACUGCUCAUAUCAUAAGUAUAUGAACAGUGAUUUUUUUUUUUCUGAAACGUGUAAUUUAGAUUUUUUUAGAUAGACUCUCUCUCGGCAAAUAUUUUUUUGUCCUCCAUUUUUUACUUUUCUUCUACAUCCUGAAUCUUACAAAUCAAAACAAUUAGAUCAUUUAUAUUUUGGGUAGAAUACAAGACUAGCUGUUUUGUUGUAUAAAAGUUGUUUUUGUGAUAGCUCUUAUACAUAUGUAAAAUAUGCAUAAUGUGGAUACUACACCACGCCAAGGGACGGGUAUAUUGACCAUUUUGCCCCAGUUAUUUUUAAGAAACCAUAAUAUUGUCAUUAACCUUAGAUAUACAAUCAGUAUAACAGCUGGGUAUAAUUUGUAUUAAUAAUAUUCUAUGAAGUACAUAUCAGAAACAUUUCUAUCAAUCAAUUACCCUAUUGACCAAUUUUAUAACAUUGUUGUUGGAUAAAAUAAUUUUAAUGUCCAUAGAAAUUUUAAAAUUAUGGGAAUUACAAUUCCAUGAAUUUUGUGAUAGCUCUUAUACAUAUGUGGAAUAUGCAUAAUCUGAAUACUACAUCACGCCAAGACGCGGGUAUACUAACCCUUUUGCCUUAUUUUUAAGAAACCACAAUAUUGUCAUUAACCCUAGAUAUAUAAUCAGUAUAACAGCUGGAUAUAAUUUAAAUGUAUAACAUUCAAUGAAGUACAUAUCAUAAACAUUUCUAUCAAUCAAUUAACCCAUUGACCAACUUCAUAACGUUGUUUUGGAUAAAGUAAUUUUAAUGUCCAUAGAAAUUUUAAAGUCAUGGGAAUUACAAUUUCAUGAAUUUAAAUCCUAUUAAUUGAGAAUUUCAUUGUUUGAAUUUCAUGAUGUGUCCAUAGAAAUUUCAAAAUCAUGAGAAUUACAAUUCCAUGAAUUUAAAUCCUAUUAAUUAAGAAUUCCAUUGUUUGGAUUUCAUGAUGUAGAGUUUUAAAAUGACAAGAAUUUGUAUUCAGACUAACCUUAGUUAAGGGAAUUGACAAAUGACGCUUAUUUUGUGAGGAAUUCAAGUCGGAAAUUUAAGCUCCUAAAUUUCACUAUUAUUUUCUUGUGAAAAUUACUAAUUCCACGGGAUAAGUAUCCAAACGAGAGAAACCGUCAUAAGAAAUUGGGAAUUCCUUAUGUUUGAUUAAAUUCUCAGGAAUUCACCUACAUCUAAACACACCAUAAAUAUAUACACCGCGCUAACACGCGGUAACACGCGGGUAAAAUUCUAGUUUGGAUAAUGAAUACACUAGACAAAUAAAAACGCUACAAAGCAUGCGGAUGCAACUAAGGUGGGCUUUUUUUUAUCAAAACGCAGGUCGUCGAUUAUUUUACUCAAAGACGAAAAUACCCCUCAGUUCUCACACUUACCUCGCGUCCUUGAACCACCCACAUCUUUCUCCUCCAAAAUCUCCAAUUCAUUCCAAUGGCGACCUUACAGAGCCAGCUCUCUGCGAUUUCGGUGAUCGGCUCCUGUUGCUCGUCUUCGUCGUCGUCUUCCUCCACCGCCACCACCUCACUGGUCUCCGUCGCCAGGCGGCCGCACUCCGGCCGGAAAGUCCCCGACGACCGGAGGCGGAGUCUGCAGAGGUCCGUUGUCCGAGCAAUGGUUCAGCAGGUCGUGCCCGGAGCUCCGGCGGCCUAUGCUAAGGAAAUGGAGAGGCUCUCCGCUAAAGAAUCACUGCUUCUCGCCGUGAGUGUCGAUAAUUGUGAUUUUCAACCUAAUUAGUUCAUAAUUUGGUAGCUUUUCUAUGCUUGGUUGGUUGAUUAGGUAGAGUUGAACUGAUAAUUAUAUAUGAGCAAAUGUGAGCUGGCUUGUUUGGUUGUUGCUUUCAGAUUAUGCUGCUAAGUGCAAUAUUAACUUUCUAAUGAGCUUCUGAAUCCAAAUCGAAGCUGUUGUGCUCAAAUGUUGAGCUCUAUGAGACUUUUUUUUUUUUGUCAUCGUGCUAGACUAGUGAGUUUAACAUUUACGAUUCUUGAAUUAUCUUUAACCUAGUUAUCUUGAAUUAUCAUACUUAAUUAGUUGUUUAGGGAGAGUUACACUGAAAAUAUAUGAGAAAAUGUGAGGUACAGUCUGGUUGUUACUUUCAAAUUAUGCUGCUAAGUACAAUUUUUAUAAUGAGCUCUUAAUAUGCAAAUUGAAAGCACACUAGUGUUCAAAUAUUGAGCUCCAUUCAGUUUCGGUGGUAUAGUUUCUUUACAAAGUGUUAGACUAGUCAUGUAGUACAGUUUAAGUUUUUUUUUUUUUUUUUUUUUUUUUUUGUCUCCCUUGAAAAUCCAUAGUCCAGCUCUUCUUUAUUGGUCUGACAUAGUCUCACCCUAACAAUUGAAUGCCGGUAUCUUUUUGUUUCAGUUCAAAGAUGCUGGGGGUUUCGAGGCAUUAGUCACUGGAAAGACGACAGACAUGCAGCGCAUUGAUGUCAAUGAGAGGAUUACUGCUUUGGAGCGGGUCAAUCCAACUCCGCGCCCUACAACGUAAGCGCUUAUCAGAACAAAGCAUUCCCACAUUUUGUGUGCUCUGGAUGACUUGUUCACUUGUUUAUUCAGCUUCCCAGGUCUCCCUUUUUGGAAGGACGAUGGAAUUUCGAGUGGUUUGGGUCCGGAAGCCCUGGUUUAUUUGCUGCAAGAUUUCUGUUUGAGUGAGUUUUUUUAUUUAUUUUGUUAGUAUCGGUUUCAAAUAGUUUGCUUUGUCUUCAGUUUUGAAUAUAAAGCUAGCGUAUCUUAUUCAUGCAACUUCUCUCUCCAGGAGAUUUCCUUCAACAUUGGCCAGUUUGUCAAAAAUGGAGGUGCUCAUCAAGGAUGGGAAUGCAAAGAUUACCGCAAACAUGAAAAUAUUGAACUCGGUAUUAGAUUUUGUCUGUAAAAUAUCCAUAUAGCGAAAGUACUCAUCUUUUAUUCUUAAAAUGCAAGUCACAUUUAUAUUCACAGCUCAAGCAUGAUUUGUAAUGGAUACUGAACUUGAGCGGGUCAUAAUCAGGCUCUAGAGUUGGUCAUGUUUGCAUCAGAUCUUUGGCUUGCUUGUGCAAGUGGUUUAGGUAGAGCAUCACAAAAUCAAUCUGUUUCAAAUAAAUUUGCAAAUUUGCAUCAUGUCUUCGUCCUUUUUUUCUUGUACUCUUAGGAAGCCGAGCAAUUAUCUGUGUUCAGUCCUGGCCCUUUUUAUAAUUAUUGGUGUUCAUUUAUAAGACUUGUGAAAGGAAAAGACAGAGCAAAAAAAAAACAGAUAAAAGAAAAAACAAGAAAUAUUUAAUUUUUAUUUCAACAGUAAUUUGGUGAAAUGACAGAUAUUAAAGACCUAUGUUGAACUGUUGAUUUAGGCAUGAUGUUAUCUAUUAUUUACACUCACCAAUGUCACUGUCUGGAUGUCUGUUCUGUUGAAGUUUAACGAAUUGAACUUUUGUGAGCAUUCACUCUGAAGAACUUUCUGGUUGUUUGCAGAUAGAAAGCAAAUUUUCUCUGUCAACCAAGUUGUCAGUGGAGGGACCAGUUAGAAUGAAAGAGGAAUAUGUUGAGGGGGUUCUCGACACACCAACAGUUAUUCAAGAAACAAUACCAGAACAGCUAAAAGGUGCACUUGGUCAGGCAAUAAACACAGUGCAACAGCUUCCUGUUCCAAUUAGGGAUGCCUUAGCCAGUGGGCUGAGAGUUCCUUUAAGUGAGUUUAAUAUUCUUCUUGUCCCUUUAUUUUGUUAUCCUAAUUUCACAAUCACAUAUGUAACCCAAAUGUAUCGUCAGAACAGUAGCUUCUCUUUUGUGAUCAGGUACUACGUAAUAUAAUGGUUUAGGAAAUUUGAGAAAACUCAAACUUGGAAAGUUAAUUUUAACUUUAAUCAAUCCCUUUCAUGUUUGUUAUAUUCUCCAUUUAAGGUCAGGUAAUAUGUGAUGGCAUAAGGGCAUCUCCAACAAUUGGUCUAAAUCCUAAACCUAUAUUCAAAUUUUAGGCCACCCAAACCUAUAAAAUUCAUAUAGGUUUUGCUUCUCCAACCCAUGGAGGCAAAACCUAAACAUAUUUAAUCAUUUUAUAUCAUCAUUUAAUCAUAUAUAAAGUAAAACCUGAUUGUUUAAUAAUAAAAUCUGACAGUAGCCCACACCCACUCACCCUCAUAAAUUAUAGGUUUGGUCCUAUUUGGUUGAGUCAAAAUAGGACACAUUUUAGGUAAAUCCUAUUUUAGCUCAACUUGGGUAGUAGGUUGGAGGUGAGAUUUUACAAAUCCUAAACCUAUUAUAGGUUUUAGACCAAGGGUUGGAGAUGCUCUAAUAUACUCAACUCAGGAAAAACUGAUUACUUAGGGUAAGAAUAUGUUUGUGAGUUCUUAUGCCGCAUAAGAAGUUGGAAAAGGUAGAUAACCUUUUGUUCUUGUGCUACUGUUGUCAUAAGCACAAAGGGUUCUACCUUUUGCAACUUCUCACGAUCAUCUCCUUUACAUGUUUUAUUAGAUGUUCUUCUUCAGUCACGUAAUGUAUUAGGGAAUAUAAGAAAUGUAGGGAAUUUACUACUUAGGAUAAAACAAUGGUUUGUCAGUUCUUAUGCCGCAUUCAAAGUUGCAGAAGAGAUAACCUUUUCUGCUUGUGGUUUUGUGGUCAUAAAGAAAAAAGUUUCUGCCUUUUUCAGCUUCUUAUCCAGCAUCAGUUGCUUCAAUUGGUUAGCCAUCAUGUUUUCUUUAUUGAUUAUAUUCUUGUAAUCUCCUUCAACAAAAAGCCAAUGCCAGUCAUGAUCUUCCUAGGGAUACUGCCGAAGACGUGAUUAAACAUUAUACACUUACUAUGAAUUUCAUGAACAUGUUGUAGCCUGUAGACUUGGUUAAUUUUUUUUGCCUAUGUCAUGAUUAUAAAAGUCAGAAUAUAUUCCUUUUACAAUUAAAUUAGAUGUCAAUUAUUUACUAUUAAUUAAAUUUUAGGUUGGGGAAGUUAAUGGAGCUAUAACAUUUGCUUUCUUAAAAGAUAAAUGUUCAUUCAUCAACCCCCCCCAAAUCAUAGAGUAAGUGUGUGUUGGAGGUAAAUGAUUGAACUUCUUAUGGGGCACCAUCAUUGAGAAGAACCUUGGAAAUUGUAGGUGUUAUAUAAUGAUGCCCCAGGAGAGGUUUGUCCAUCUAUGGCAAUUGGGGAAUAUGUAAAAUGACUUCUGGUUAGCCACAUUGCUGUUUAGACUUUAUCCACCUAUCCCACCUAUCUCUCAUGUCUUAGUAAUUUAAUAUUCAUCAUGGAAAUCCUGCCAUCAUACUACUCUCUCCCCCAAUAGUCUUUUGGUUGAGGUUGAAACUCUGUGCGUUCAAAUUCUGCUGAUAUUUGAAUAUCAUCUUGUAAACAAUUUUGACAUUCAUAUGUAUCCUUACGCAUUGAAUGAACAAUUUAUUGAUGUAUGGUUUGGUUUGGAUGUGGGUGUCUAGAAUGCUUCAUUCAAUAUGAUAAAGGAGGCAAUUUUGAGAUUUUACUCCUUUUCAUUACUGAUUUCAUCUCAUCUCUGCCUCUAUGCACCUAGUUCUUAUUAUAAAUCCAUGCCAAGUGUACUGCUCUAUGCUCAACUAUUUGGAAGGAUCAGCUUCAAUUAUGUAUGUCAGUGGCGAUCCCUGCUAAUGCCCCGUCUUACAAGAUAAAAUAUACCAAUUUAACCUUCCAUAAACUAUUAUUAUGUUAAUUUGGCCUAUUUCACCUAGCUCUCAUUACAUCCAUGCUAAGCUUUACUUCUUGCCUGCAGCUGGAGCUUUCGAGAGACUCUUCAUGAUUUCCUAUCUUGAUAUGGAGAUAAUGGUAAGUAUUCUACUUACUAUUAUCUGUACUUCAGUUUAAUUAUGUUUUGCUGUGUAAAACUGAGCCUCUUAUGUUACUGAUGGUUAGCAGAAAUGGAUAUAUUAUUACUCUGUAAACUUAAAACUUCGGUAUCAAACUCGGUGGAACUUACAGUUAGGGUUUUAAACCUAUUUUCUUCAACUAAUAUCUUUUUACAAAAUUGUUUGUGUUGAACUUACUUCAUAGAUUGGGAGAAAAUAAAUUAUUUUGUUUUGUCAUGGAUCUCCCAAACAGGAUACUCCAUUCCUCUUCUGUGGGAAAUGACUGAGACUCAGUUUCCAUUUAUAAGUAUAUUAUUAUUUUGUGCGUGGUGUAAAAAGGUCUGUAAAGGCCUCCAGUACACUUUGCAUGUUAGUUUUAGCUUCAAAACUGUAAGAUUUGUUUUAAAUCCAUUAUUUUUCCUAGAAAACGAUAUUGUUAGUUUGACUUUGCAUGAAAGAAAAUUCACAAAAUGUCAACGGUAAUGCCCUUUUCUGAGUUUUUAAUUGAUUUUGCAAUUGUCUUAGAUUGAAUUAUAGAUAAAAUAAGUUCAAAUUGCUCCCCUACCCUUGAACUUUUGGGCUUGGAAUUUAAAUUUGUCUAGCAAGAACUUAGUAGUUGAGUCUUUCAAUGUUAUACCACAAUGAUAAUUCCAAUUCUUUUCACUUUUCAUUUUCUUUCUGGGCGGUGGAAUUAUUUUAUUGACCACUAAAAUAUUGCUCGUAAUCAAUCUUGCUUAGCACGGCAGGAUUGUAAGACUUUGGUCUACCCCAAGAGAUGCACACUUCUCCUACAAAUCUCCGCACAGAGUUUAGGGGAGGUCAAACCUUAGACAAUUGAUUUUUGAGCCAUCUACUUCAUCCAACUGUCAAUAAUAAUUGUGCUUUCUCUAAAUAUACAAUAUAAUAUGGAGGCUCCAGUUUUUUAUACAAUAUAAUAUGGAGGCUCCAGUUUUUUAAGUACAAAACAGGGACAUUGUGUCUUUCGGCUGUAGGUUCUUAUAAAUGGAGGUGGCAAAAUAUUAUUCUGUGAUGGACAUGAGAAGAUGACGUUGAUUUUUAAUGUAUUUAAAUGACUGCAGUUUUAUACAUUAGUAGGUUCUGAAUUCUGUUUCUGGAUUUAAUACAGAUUAUAAGAGAUGCUGCUGGAGUUCCUGAAAUACUUACAAGGUUAGAUUCACCCUCAUCUCCCCUGGCUGAAACCAUCCCGGAGUAUGAGAGCUAAAGGUGCUGUUAUGUAUGGGAACUAAACUCUUUCUAUUUUUGUAGAGUUCACCUUCAAAUGAUAGUUACCUUUUAUGUCCUUGUCUCUGAAUAAGUUGUUACUCUUCUUCUGAUUUCCCUAAAUAUUUUGGCGAAAUUUUUAAGUAAAGGACGAUGAGGAAAAAAUCAACCAGCCACCAUUAAUCACCAAAAAAUGUGUAAAAUGUUCCAUAUCUGUAAAAAUUCAAGUCAAUUGACCGAGAUUGAGUGUUUGUAGUUUUCUUGAAGUCUUUAUGCAUGUGUUUGUUCUUAAUUAUAGUCUAGAUAAUCACUGGAUAAGAACAAGGAGACUAGUGGAAUAUUAAAAACUUGGUGUGAAGUGUGAACAUGCUUGACUAAAUUGCACCCACGCUUAUUGACUAAGAUGUGCUCUGCUCUGCUGUCUUGCUGGUUUCAUUUCUUGUCAUCUCAUGUUAUUGCCUUUACAUCACCUGGAAGGACAUCUCAAUAUUUUCUCUUUCCAUUUUUAUAUGUUGCUUGUUUUAAAUUCAUUUGCCUCUGUCGAGGAAACCUUUUUGCUCUUCAAAAUGAUCCUCUUGAACAUCUGAUGACUGAUAAGUGUAUGGGGUGAUCAUUUGAAGCUUAUGGAGUGCAUAAUCUUUCUUUAACCUUGGCCGUUCAAUUUUGAAGCCGAACAUAUCUCUUGCCAUUGAAUUCGUUAGGGUAAUGGUUCUUUCGUUGGAGUCUCAUGAAUUAAGUUGACUGUUUUCAAAUUUUAUGACAUUCGAUUACAAAUCUACGUUAUUAUAACGGUCAUGAUUGAAGGUUGUCAUUUAUCCUUUAUCAAGUGAAAAUUACUGCCUUUCUGUUUGCUUUAAAUCGACUACCAUUGAUGCUCCAUAUCACAUUCGGUCUCUGACGUGCUAGCUUUUCUGAGGAGUUUACGUGUGAUGGCUAUAUGCAAGAAUUUCUCGUUAUAUACGGCAGCAGGCAGUGGUGAUGUGCAUAAGGGAACUCCAAUCUGGUUCUGGGUUCAGGUAUCGAUCGUUGUCUUUGAAGGCUCAACUCUUGGUGUACGGUCGUUGUAGACCAACAGAUGCCCACUAUUAUAGCAUCAUAGUUGAAGACUUGAAGUGAUAGGUGGUUUGAGACUUUGAGUCGUACCUGUCAUGUAUAUUGUUUAGUUUAGGUUCAAUGAUUUUGAGGCUAAUCAUGCCACUAAGAAAUGAAUAUUGCAUAUUGCACAUAAACAUUUAGUUAAAAUGUUGACUUUCCGCCGCUGUUUCUUAGUCAACUUAUUAACCCUCUGCUGCAAACCCAGACAAUAAUUUCACAGCUUUUGGUGAAUCGAGCAAAACUGCUUGAUUUUCUAAUAGCUGGUGUUCUAAAAAUCUCUCUUGGCGGCCACCUUGGCGCCACCAUCUGUCUGGGUUAAUUUGAGCGGCGUCUAGCCGUCUAGGUGAGCUGAGUUUAUAAAGAUAAUAUAUUGAAAAAGAUAAUAUAUACUUAUAAAGUUAUAAUACUAAUCUUUUUGUCAAAAUAUAGGAGUAUAAGUUUUUUUCGUUAACAUAUAGGAUCGGAGUAUAAGUUUUGUUAAGGGAAAACUACACUUCUAUAUUCAACUAUUUUAAUAUGUUUUUAGAUAAAAACCCAACUAGACGGUCGCCUAAUUUUCUCUUGAACACCUGGGUGGUGCUAGGUCCCUCUUCUUUUUUUUUUUUUUUUUUACCUACCCGACUAAUCGCUAGAUUUUAGAACAUAUUAAUUUGUGCUUAUAUACUAUAUAGACAUAUGUACAUAGGUAUACGCAUACAUAUGUACAUCUAUGGUAUCUGAAAUUAUACGUAUACAUUAUGUACCUUCCGUACAUUCACAUAUGGGUGAGAAGAAAUAUCUCUUGCUCUUUAGAAUAUUUUUUUAUAAACGAAAAUCAUCUAAAUCGUCACUAGCUACUUCUCUUUUAAACUUUUUAAUGUGUAUUAUUCAAUUAAAUUAGUAGACAACUAGGUAUAUUUUUGCUUAUGAAAAGCAAGUGGGUAUUGCAAAAUGGUGUUCAAAAUCUAGUAAUGGAAGUUUCUCAACAGUAUCUCCUAAAUUUGGAGUAGUGUAUCUGAAUUUUCAUGUCAACAUGAUAAGAGAAAAUGAGAAGAGACGACUUGUGUAUAUAAAAAUUAAAACAUACGAAGAAAUUAAAGAGACUUGCAUCAAGUUCUGCAGAGCAAGCCACUGCCAGCCAUAUGGUUUUGCAGGCCUGAAAUUGCCCAAUGUUAUGCAAGAGUGGUUCUCCAAACCAUAAUGGCUCUGAAAGAGAGAGAUGGACAGAGAGACCCAAUUUAACAAGAGACAAAAGGAGAAGCAGGGUGAAAGCUAUCCUCCAAAAAGAAAGAAACAAAACCCUGGUUCAGCACUAUUCAAUUCAAAACUGCAAAAGAAAGAUGAAAAUGAAAUGUUAUGGCCACUUUACUUCCAAAUGGAGAUUGCCAACUGCAAUAUCUCUCUGCCUCUCUGCCAAAACCCAGAAAAUAUCCCAAAAGUAUAUGAUUAACUUUAAACCCUUAUAUUUACACAGCAAAAUGAACCACAAAUACUAGAGUUAAGUUAAAAACUUAAAACCCAAGAGAUUAAGCACAACCCAAUUUCAGAUUCAUUACAUUCCUUCUUCUUCUGAUGAUGAUGGUGAUGAAUUACUGGUACUACUAAGCUAAACAAGUUGGGUGCCUUCAAAACCAUGCAGCAAGUGAGAAUUUGGAGCAGCAGAAGCAGACUCCAAAUUGGGCAGCAUAGGAUAUUCACCAAGCUCUUGGAUAAACCCUUCCAAAUCUGCAAACCUCUCCAAAAACCCACCUGACUUCUCUGCAUUCCACAUCAUCUCUUCUUCCUUGAUCACUCUCUCCGAUCUCUGAAGCUGCUCGAAACCCCGGAACCCGGAACCGCCUCCGUUACUUCUCAGCAGCUCCAUUUUCUUGGCCUCGGCCAUGAAUGCACUUCUCUGAUGAUGAGCUUCCGACGCUCUUCGUGAAACUCCUUGCGCCCUCUUCUUCUUGUUGCUACAACCGUUGUCGGAUGGCUUUCCGGUGAGUCUCUGGACUAGUUCCCGGAAAUUGGCCACGUCGGUCUUGAUGAUCUCGGGUGCAAAUAUGUGGAUGAUUCUGAUUUUGGGUUUUGGUUUUGAUAUUGUUUGCGAGUCUCUGUGAACGGCCAAAGCAUUUGAGCUUGUUCCCCAAGUUUGUUUCUUGCUCAUCAUCAUCUCCUCCAUGAGAAAAGUAGUGAGGGAAAGUUUGAGAGAGAAAUGUUGGGAAUUGGGAGAUUGGGGGUUUGUGGAAGUUGGUGUAUAUCUAUUUGUUUUCAGAAGGGAGAGAAGGGGAUGCUUACUUAUAUAAGGGGAGGGAUUAACAUUGAGGGGGUGGUGUUACAUGUUAAUUAACUAUUAAUCACUUAAUCAAUUGGAUGGCAAAUCAGAAAAAUAUAAUACAUACAAGAUUCAACAAAAAUAAAAAUAAAAGAGGGGGUUUGUCUGGCAAAAAUGCUUUUGUCAAUGGAAACAAAAUGGUCCCCCCAUUACCCAAAUUGGUAUUUCUUGAUUAUAGUUAUACAAAUUGUAUGUGUGUUGUUUGUUUAGUGCAAAACUUGUAAGAUGGCCUUGAAAGAUUUGGGGUUGUGGGAACUAUGUGGUGGAACAUGUAGACAAUAACUAAAGGAGGGCUUAUUAUCCAUUGAUUAUAGGGUACCCAGUUGCAAUUUGCAAUUGCAUUAAUGUAAGCAGUUAGUUCUUACCAGAAACUAUUGCAUGAAUCUCCUCUUCUCCACAUCUUGCUUGAGCUCUUGAAGAGCAGAAGAGAGAUAGGUGGUUCAAACUUCAAAGUAGAAUCAUUUUAUAGUGGUCAUUUUGUUUACCAACCUAUUGAAGUGGAAUUGGUAGCUCUUGGGUUUGUGGUAACUAAAACUGAGUUUUGAUAACUUUCGCUUUAUUUUUAGUUUUUACAAUAAAAGAUCUCUAAGAAAAUUUUGAAAAUCCUAGAACAUAAACAAAGUUAACCAAUAGUAUGUUUGUGAAGAUGAAAUAUCAAGUCAUUUGUGUUGGCUAUUAAGGUCUGAUGUGGUUGACCCCCAAGAACUAUACGGCUAGACCUCCCGGUGGCCGCUAUGACAAGCAAGACAAUGAAAAACCAUUAACUCAUUGUUUAGAUUUUAUCUUAUUUUCUUGAUUAUAAUAAUUUCAUAUAUGUAUAUACCACAUGUCCACAUUUGUUACCACAACAAACUUAUUAUACUUGUUUUACAUAAUUGAGUGGACAACAAUUUGUUGGUAAUCCUGUGAAAAUGUUGCAAGUGAAGUAGCUACCUUCAUUAGAACUAAAAAUAUUAAAAAUGACUUCUUUCACCACAAUGACACAAAUUUGUUGUCAGGUCUAUUCAUGUGGGUAUCACAAACAUGUAUCUCAAAAUUUUAUGUUAAUAACAACCAAAUUUGUUUGAUUAAUUUGCUUAAAUUUGAUACAGUAAAUUCAUAAUUUAAGGACAGUGAAAAGCAAAGGUUCUAAAAAAGGCCUAGGCACCGCCUAGGCUCCCGGAGAUGGUUGCCAUCCCGAUUUUAGGCAAAUCGUCUAGUGUAGGCGGCCGGCCGUUUUUUAGCCACCUAGGCGGCUAGGUGGAAAAAAAAAAUUUGAAAAGUGAAAACCAUGGAUUCAGAUGAAGAGGAAGAAGAAACUAUGGAUUUUGAGUUUGACUCCGAUACCGAAGAAGUACUUGAAGGACGUGGAGAAGAAGAAUUGGAGGAGUAGGCUUGCAAGAAUGUAUUUUUCUUUAUUUGAAUUGUAUUUGGACAUUGUUGCCUAGUUGGUGAAUUGUGUUUUUUACUUUCGGAUUUUCCUAAGGUCAUUGAUGUUUAAUUGCGUUUCUUACUUGUUUCAACGACAUUGUUGUUGAAUUAAUGUUGAAUUGUAUUUCUUAUUUUUCUGAGAACAUUGUUGUUAGUACAUCUUUAAGGACGUAUGCUAUAUAUUUUCAUUAUUUUCAGCGUUAUAUGUUUUUUUUAAAAUUAUUUUUAGACAUUAUAAUACAUAUUUUAAUUGUAUUUAUAUAAUUAUUUGUUAUUAAAAAAUAAAAUAAAUACAAAAAUAAAAAUCCGAUUAAUCCUCGAUUAAUCUUUUGGGCGCUAUCCGCCCGACUAGCACCCAACGUUUUUUAGAACCUUGAUGAAAAGUAACACUUUUUAUUAUUGGAACAAGGAGAGAGGUGCAAUUUUGCCAAUGAUAUUAGUUUAGCGUAAUUCUUUUCAAUUAUAAAUCUAAUAAGAAAACAACGUGGUAAAAUACAAGUCAUAGGUGAGCAUCCGAAUCAAAAUUUACUUAGUAACCAUUGCGGCAUAUUUGAAGGUAAAAUAAAUCUAUUGAGUGGGAUACCUUCCGUCGAUCAAUAUUGAUCUGAGUUUGGGUUUCCGGUGGCUUUCUAAUCUAGAUAUAUGGCUUGGGUCUAGUUUGGAUGUUGAGUCUUAUGUCUUUAUUAGUCAUUUUAAUGUUUGGUGCAUGGACAAUGGAAACAUAUUCAUUUUGUAGAUUCAAAUCGUGUUCAGAUUGCUUGAUCAUCCAUGUUACCACUCUAUUAACUGUAGUUAAAUAUGAGGAAUAUUAAUUUGGAAAAGAUCAUGCUCCCCAAUAUCCAUCAGGGUAUCAGUUGAGAAAUCAUGGUAGGCAAUGAUGGAGGGCAAAUCUGUAAUGAUGGUGCUAAACUAUUCCAACAAAAUGCCGUGUCGUUGGAAGCAACCAAAUGUCAUGCGCCCAUUGGGCCUUUCCACAAUAUUGUACGACAGCCGUACUUAAUCCCGCGUUUAACACCGACUCUUACUGUUACAAUGAUUUUUAGCUGUUUAGUCCUCCCAAUUUGUUGUAAUUAACUUACCUUUACAUGAUACCAAAAUUGGGACAUAAUCUCUUUUGCAUACAAGUUGAAUUCAGUUUGCAAAAUGGUACGAAGGGUUAUACAGCAACUUCAAGCGUGGUAUGUGGUUCACCCUUUUCAUUUAAUAAAGAAAAUGAAACUCUUUUUGAAGUUGUAUGCCACUCGUUAUUUUGAAGAAUCAAAUAGAUAGUUAAAUUUUUGAGAUUGAGAAUUAGCUUCAAAGAGUGCAUAUACAAAGGGUUACAUAUUUUGAGCGCAAAUUGUACUCCGAUCCUAAGUAAUCAUUGCGAAGCCGGAAACCCAUACCGAGAGAUAUGUCUAGCCGUAAAAUGAAAGAUAACUCGACAAGCUAAAGAAUCAAUGUCCUAGCCUCUAGAUUUUGAAAGAGUCAUAGAAAGGUUGAACCAAAAAACAGGAGUUGAAUAUUUACGUUUGAUUUUGUAUCAUUAAUUGAUUAUUUAAAUGAUUUGUCACUAAGCUCUUAUCUCAUAACUAGUUGAAAGAGGCCGGUUUUAAGAAAAAUAGACCGUACUCACUAAUGGAGCUUUCGAUACUAAUUAAACACAUGCACACCAACUUGGAUCAUUCUUAAACACUAACUUAGUGUCUCGUAUGAAUAAUUAGUUGACUAUGUUUUAACCUAAUUAGUGUCCCAUAUAAGGUUGCAUUAUUCAUCAAUGGAAUAUAUAUUUGGUUAGGGGUGGUCACAUGGCACACGACUGGUUCUUGUAGAAUUGGUAUAACUGCCAUACCAUAUAAUCGACCAGUUUCACUUUCUCUCCUUUUACAUGAUCAUCAUAGUUCGUCCCCUAUAUGCAUGCAGAAAAGGUAGUCAUGCUUUUGACAACUCAAAUUUUCCUUUACUUCUAUUGGGAACAUAAUUACCAACUUUAUUUGUAUUUCUUGUCUUCGUCAUAAUUACAUCAUGCUGAUCAUGAUUUCCCAUAUACAUGUAUAAGUCUAUAUGUUAUAUAUAACUGGCUUCACUAUUUAUUCAGUGGGAGAAGUACUAGAGAGAAAAACAAUAAUUAAAUCUUAACUUCGAAUUCUAUCUAGGCCAAUUGUAACAUUGUAUGUUCGAUUAUUACUAAAAAAAAAAAACAAAGUAAAAGUGUGGAUUGUAAAAUUAGACGUGUAAAUUUCAGUUCCUUAUAUAAAUUGUCUAUAUAUUAUAUAUUGUUAAAUUGGAUAGUUGGUGGAAACUAAGCAUUUUACUAUUAGCCUGGUAAAUAUUGGGUAUCAUUAUUCUCCACUGUUCUUCCUUUAGCUGCUAUCCAAGUUUUUCACUUCGACACUUUUGAAAUUAGUCGUUAUAAUUCUCACUUGUUCUUGAAAAAGAAAGAAACUAUCUUAGUUUUUCCGAUGAGAACAAGUACGUGUUAGCCGGCAGAUUAAAAGGUUAAAGGCAACUAAAUGCAAGAAUUAUGUACGGCUGGAUCGGAGAUUCUGGUUUUCUGAGAGAAACUUUAACCGUCGAUGUGCAUGUGAAUGUGAUGAAGGUUGUGCUCGUGCAUGCAUGUGUAUGUGUGUUGCGUCAUCAUCUCUGGGAGAGAGUGAGUGCACACGGGUCUCGUGCCGGCCCAGUGGCCCACGGCGCGUCGACGUGCGGGAGAGCGAGUGCCUUGACGUCGUCGUCCUCGUCCUUCUCUUCCAUGGGAUGAGCGGCACUCACGACUGCACUCGACGAUCCAGUACUCAUAGCUAACUGGGUCUUCGCUGGCUUCUACUUCUUCUUUUUUUUCUUUGAGAAGGCAUCUUUGCUGGUUUUACAUGCAUUAUUUUAGCAAACGAAAAAUUGCCCCUAGCCUGCUGGUGUUUUUGUUUUGAAGAGCUAGCUAGCUAGCUAGCUGCAGUGUAUAUAUGUUUACACAUGAAUAUAUAUUGUGGCAUGCACGUACACAUAAUAAAGAUCCUUCUUCGAUCUGAUAUAUAUGGUACUACUCGCACGUAUUACACUUGUGGUUUCAGCUAGCUAGCUAGACGCUUCCAACUACCAAUUCAGGUAAAAUCCUCGGAAAAUUAUUGGCUUUCUGAUAUGAAUAUAUAUGAUGAAACCCUGUAAUCCAAACCCAAAUUCAUUGUCCAAGUCGCCCCACAAGAUUGACUCUUCUUUCUAAUUUAAAUUCCUCGCUCUUUAGAUGGCGGGUCUUUUCCAUUUCUAAUUUCUUACUUGCGCGCGCAUGUAUAAAAAUUACUUAAUCUGCAGCUAUAUAUAGAUCGAUCGAAGUGGUUGAUUAAUUAGUAUAUUUUCAAGUGUUACAAGAUUUCAACAUCUCUUUGAUUAUCGAUCCGCAACGUAGGUACUAUAUAAACGAACUAACAGAGAGAAGAAUAUUUUGGUAAAUGUCAAGGCUUGAACACUAGCCUGACACUGUGUUUUAUUUAUACAGAUCAGUUGUUUACAAGAUAAACAUCUCAUGUACUUGAGAUAACAACAAAUACAAACAGAACUCUAUCGUUUGUGAUACAUGGGAUAUACAUAGCAUAUCUAGAGAUUAGAGAAUCUAGGGAACUAGCUGUUCCUAUCUGAACUGGAAUCAUCAUGAUCUCUUAAUUCUGUUAGGUUUGGCUUAUCAUUCCCCCGCAAGCUGAGUGGUCUGGGAAGAACAGGAAGCUUGGAGACCAAAAAAUGAAAACGAGAGGCAGACAAACCUUUUGUAAAGAUGUCAGCAACUUGAUCAGCAGUAGGAACGAAAAGAACUUGCAACUCUUUAUUCACAACCUUCUCUCUGACAUAAUGAUAAUCAACUUCUACAUGCUUCGUCCUGGCAUGGAAAACUGGAUUGGAUGCAAUGACAAUAGCUGAUAAGUUAUCACACCAAAUUUUGGGGCACUGUAAGAAUAGAUUAAGAUCACAAAACAUGGACCUUAACCAAGAAAUUUCUGCAGCAGUAAAGGCAAGUUGUCGCUACUCUGCUUCGGCACUCGAGCGGGACACAGUACGAUGAGUCUUGGAGCUCCAUGAAAUGAGGUUCGAGCCAAGAUACACACAAUAGCCGCCAGUAGAUUGACGAUUAUCCGGAUCUCCAGCAUAGUCGGCAUCAGAGUAGGCACUUAUAAACAAAGAACCAGGCUGAUAUUUAAGGCCAUAAUUGACUGAGAACUUGAGAUAACGCAGAAUGCGUUUAACAGCAAUCCAGUGGAUAUUGGUUGGAGAAUGCAUGAAUUUACAAACCUGAUUGACCGAGUAAGAUAUAUCUGGCCUUGUGAGUGUGAGGUACUGGAGAGCUCCAACCACGUGUCGAUACUCAGUAGGAUCAAUGAGUGGUGUUCCAGAGUGAAGGCUUAAUUUCUGACCAGUUGCAGAUGGAGUUGCACAAGGAUUGGCUUCAAGCAUCUUUGUUCGAGUAAGUAAAUCCACAAUAUACUUUUUCUGAGUCAAGUAGAGAGAAGAGCCAUCAUAAGUAGCUUCAACACCAAGGAAGUAGUGUAUGCGACCAAGAUCUUCAUGGAGAACAUUUUGCCUAGCUCAGAUAUAAGUUGAGAUAAGUGACUGCUGCUGUUGCCGGUGAUCAAUAUAUCAUCCACAUAAAUAAGCAGAAUAAGAAAAAUGCCAUUUUGUGCAUAUGUAAACAUAGAAUAGUCGGAGAGAGACUCCAAGAACCCCAAGCUUUCCAAGUAUUCGGCAAAAUACUGAAACCAAGCCCUCGGUGCCUGUUUGAGGCCAUAGAGGGAGCGUUUUAAUCUGCAAACAUGAUUGGGAAAGUUCAGAUCAGUAAAGCCAGGAGGUUGUUUCAUGUAAACUUCCUCUGUCAAGUGUCCAUGUAGAAAUGCAUUGUGCACAUCAAGUUGUCGAACAUGCCAACCAUUGGUAACAGCAAGAGCAAGAAUUAAACGGAUGGUUGAGUGCUUCACCACGGGACUGAACGUUUCAGAGAAAUCAAUGCCCUCUUGUUGAUGAAAACCAUUAGCAACCAGUCGAGCCUUAUAGCGUUCAAUACUGCCAUCUGCUUUCCUUUUGAGUUUGAAUAUCCACUUGUUGGGCAAGACAUUCAUGGAUGAUGUAGAUGGAACCAAGUCCCAAGUUUCAUUCUUUUGUAAAGCACGAAAUUCUUCUUCCAUUGCUAAGCGCCAGUUUGCAUCUUUGGCAGCUUUACUGUAACACGUAGGUUCUGCAACAACAUCAUUGGUGAGAGAAACNNNNNNNNNNNNNNNNNNNNNNNNNNNNNNNNNNNNNNNNNNNNNNNNNNNNNNNNNNNNNNNNNNNNNNNNNNNNNNNNNNNNNNNNNNNNNNNNNNNNNNNNNNNNNNNNNNNNNNNNNNNNNNNNNNNNNNNNNNNNNNNNNNNNNNNNNNNNNNNNNNNNNNNNNNNNNNNNNNNNNNNNNNNNNNNNNNNNNNNNNNNNNNNNNNNNNNNNNNNNNNNNNNNNNNNNNNNNNNNNNNNNNNNNNNNNNNNNNNNNNNNNNNNNNNNNNNNNNNNNNNNNNNNNNNNNNNNNNNNNNNNNNNNNNNNNNNNNNNNNNNNNNNNNNNNNNNNNNNNNNNNNNNNNNNNNNNNNNNNNNNNNNNNNNNNNNNNNNNNNNNNNNNNNNNNNNNNNNNNNNNNNNNNNNNNNNNNNNNNNNNNNNNNNNNNNNNNNNNNNNNNNNNNNNNNNNNNNNNNNNNNNNNNNNNNNNNNNNNNNNNNNNNNNNNNNNNNNNNNNNNNNNNNNNNNNNNNNNNNNNNNNNNNNNNNNNNNNNNNNNNNNNNNNNNNNNNNNNNNNNNNNNNNNNNNNNNNNNNNNNNNNNNNNNNNNNNNNNNNNNNNNNNNNNNNNNNNNNNNNNNNNNNNNNNNNNNNNNNNNNNNNNNNNNNNNNNNNNNNNNNNNNNNNNNNNNNNNNNNNNNNNNNNNNNNNNNNNNNNNNNNNNNNNNNNNNNNNNNNNNNNNNNNNNNNNNNNNNNNNNNNNNNNNNNNNNNNNNNNNNNNNNNNNNNNNNNNNNNNNNNNNNNNNNNNNNNNNNNNNNNNNNNNNNNNNNNNNNNNNNNNNNNNNNNNNNNNNNNNNNNNNNNNNNNNNNNNNNNNNNNNNNNNNNNNNNNNNNNNNNNNNNNNNNNNNNNNNNNNNNNNNNNNNNNNNNNNNNNNNNNNNNNNNNNNNNNNNNNNNNNNNNNNNNNNNNNNNNNNNNNNNNNNNNNNNNNNNNNNNNNNNNNNNNNNNNNNNNNNNNNNNNNNNNNNNNNNNNNNNNNNNNNNNNNNNNNNNNNNNNNNNNNNNNNNNNNNNNNNNNNNNNNNNNNNNNNNNNNNNNNNNNNNNNNNNNNNNNNNNNNNNNNNNNNNNNNNNNNNNNNNNNNNNNNNNNNNNNNNNNNNNNNNNNNNNNNNNNNNNNNNNNNNNNNNNNNNNNNNNNNNNNNNNNNNNNNNNNNNNNNNNNNNNNNNNNNNNNNNNNNNNNNNNNNNNNNNNNNNNNNNNNNNNNNNNNNNNNNNNNNNNNNNNNNNNNNNNNNNNNNNNNNNNNNNNNNNNNNNNNNNNNNNNNNNNNNNNNNNNNNNNNNNNNNNNNNNNNNNNNNNNNNNNNNNNNNNNNNNNNNNNNNNNNNNNNNNNNNNNNNNNNNNNNNNNNNNNNNNNNNNNNNNNNNNNNNNNNNNNNNNNNNNNNNNNNNNNNNNNNNNNNNNNNNNNNNNNNNNNNNNNNNNNNNNNNNNNNNNNNNNNNNNNNNNNNNNNNNNNNNNNNNNNNNNNNNNNNNNNNNNNNNNNNNNNNNNNNNNNNNNNNNNNNNNNNNNNNNNNNNNNNNNNNNNNNNNNNNNNNNNNNNNNNNNNNNNNNNNNNNNNNNNNNNNNNNNNNNNNNNNNNNNNNNNNNNNNNNNNNNNNNNNNNNNNNNNNNNNNNNNNNNNNNNNNNNNNNNNNNNNNNNNNNNNNNNNNNNNNNNNNNNNNNNNNNNNNNNNNNNNNNNNNNNNNNNNNNNNNNNNNNNNNNNNNNNNNNNNNNNNNNNNNNNNNNNNNNNNNNNNNNNNNNNNNNNNNNNNNNNNNNNNNNNNNNNNNNNNNNNNNNNNNNNNNNNNNNNNNNNNNNNNNNNNNNNNNNNNNNNNNNNNNNNNNNNNNNNNNNNNNNNNNNNNNNNNNNNNNNNNNNNNNNNNNNNNNNNNNNNNNNNNNNNNNNNNNNNNNNNNNNNNNNNNNNNNNNNNNNNNNNNNNNNNNNNNNNNNNNNNNNNNNNNNNNNNNNNNNNNNNNNNNNNNNNNNNNNNNNNNNNNNNNNNNNNNNNNNNNNNNNNNNNNNNNNNNNNNNNNNNNNNNNNNNNNNNNNNNNNNNNNNNNNNNNNNNNNNNNNNNNNNNNNNNNNNNNNNNNNNNNNNNNNNNNNNNNNNNNUUAUACUACUAUAUAUAUAUAUAUAUAUAUAUAUAUAUAUAUAUAUAUAUCUUUCGGAUGCGAGAGGGGACAAUAUUGCGGUAUAUAUCACAGAAGACCGAAACCCAAGUCAAGCCUAGCUACGUGAGGAGCAUAUAUAUAUCACAGAAGAUAAUUAGCAUGUAUGCCUAGUGGAGAUUCAAAAUUCAUCAAAUCGAUCAUCAAGCUCUAAUUAAAACCUGACAUUCUUUUAAUAAGAGAACUAUCAAAUUCUAAUUACGUAUGUAUCUCUGGUUAAUCACCAGUUUAAUUACUAGAUAGAUAGAUAUAUCUAAAAACAUCAGCAUGUAUCUCUAUCCAAGAAGAUACGAAAGAGACUAAUUCAGGAGCAUAAUCUAGCUAUAUAUCUGUUUACCUAAUUUACAGCACGAUCGAGAAGAUCAAUUCCUAUUUUUUGACUACGUACAGCAUCGAAUACGUAUUAUCAAUUAACAUACAUACAUGAGAUACAUGCAUUGUUUUACUUUUACUGUUUCCUUAAUUUAGAUGUGUGAUCGAUGAUGCAAGUUUUUCAGAAUCUUGGACCAGUUCAGAGAAAUUAAGAAUCAGUAGUAGACAUUGCAGUAGUGUACGUUUAGAGCUCGCUUUUGUAAGUCUCUCCAUCUGUUAUCAGUUGCUUUCAGGAUCGAUCAUGUGGUGGUCCAAAGCUGAUUUUAUUACUUCUACUACUUAUGAUCGCCAUUUUUCUUACUUAGUACGAAUAAACUAAUUAGCUGUAAUAAUCCAAAUACCUGCACUGGAAAAUCAAUCCUCGUAGACUUGCUGAUGAUAUAGAUCGAUAUUCAAACGGAUCGAUCGAGAUCAAGUCGACGAAGAACACAUCCCACUUCCUUGAUCGUAAGUCAUACUCUUUGAUACGAUAAGGGCCAGUUUGUCCCCGCUGCUUAAUUGUUAAUUUAAGCAGGACGUACUGCAUGUUAAUUUGGUAAAAGCUUUGCAAUCGUCUUUUGAAAAAGUCUCACAACUCAUACAAGUACGUUGUCCCUUGGCUUCUCUUCUGUAAUAUAUACGUUCCAAGUUCCAGCAGCAAGUAAAUAAUAUUUUGUCCAAAAUUAUUCGGUCUAAUUUUUCUUAAACACACAAUUUUCAACUUGUAGCAGUACGUUAAUAUAUAGGGAUAUAUAUCCUAUAUAUAGGAUAUGGACAUCAGCCGAUGUCUAAAGUUUGAAUGUCAAAAUAAAUAGAGAAGAAGAAGUAAGUUGGCAUGAGGUAAUGCAAGUUUAGCAUGAUGAUCAGAUCAGAUGAUUGACGAAGAAAGAAUAGAGGCUUCACGACGUACUACUACCUUAAUUACUUUUUUAUGUAGCUAAUGGUAGAUAGAUAUAUACAUUGGUCAAACUCAAUGCGUUUAACUGGUACUUGUUCACACCUCGUGGUUUUUUACCAACCCAAAGACCACGACAGUGAAUAUAUAAAGCCUUCCUUGAAUAUGAUUCGUAUUUCCCUAUAUAGUAAAGGACGUGCAAGCAGCUUGCACUGUUCAUAUGCCUGGCCUCUGAGUGCUUAUCUAGGUACUUACAUUUGAAUAAAAGCUAGCUCAUGUGUAAUACUAGAACUAAUUUAGACCCACAGUCGAUCACUACGCUAUGCUUGGCAGAAACAAAUUAACUGAUCAAUCCAUUUGAUUAUGUCUGAUCUAUUAGCAAGGCAUUCAAUCUUACACAUGCAACAACGUCUCAGGUUAGGAUCGAUGUUACACAUUAGGCAUUCAAUGACUAAUGUAUGCAUGGUACAAGUGCUCUGAUUUUCAUAGAAGGUACUCAGGCUUUGCUCAUUAGCUGUCACAUAGUUUAUAAUACAGGUGAUAACCCAAAAAAAAAAAAAUGUCCAUCUAGCGCAUCACCCUUAUUUUUGAUUAGUUAUAGAUUGACAAUGUUUUUUUCAACACUUGAAACAACAACAACACAAAGAAUAGACUGCCAAUUUUACACCUUUAUAUGAAGUCAUUUAUAUGACACAUGCUCGAUCUCAGUUAUGGAAAGCAUCAAAUUUUCAUCUUUCUUUAUUUUUAAUUCUGUGAAGUAAGGUGAUCGUUUCCGAAGUUCAGAUACGAACUGAUUGAAUCACAGGAACUUCAUUAGUAUUGGGCUCAGCCACGUGACCCAUGACUAAAUGUGGUUACAUAUGUUGUGGGCCUUUGUAAACGGGGAUGGAUAUUUGUGUCGCAGCUGAGGCCCUAAUCAAACAUGCGAGCUCGACUGUUUUUUCAUUUAUCCUUUUUGAUCACUCGAGUGUUUCGUCUCUGAUACAAACUCUGAAGUAAUAGUUUCUAAGUUGUGGGUGAAUACUAAGAAACAGUAUAAAGUUAUCCUCGAGUUAUAAAUUCAAGCAAUCUCUCUCAUACUCAUGGUCAUACCAACACGGCAACACCAUUGUCUUGCUUGUAUUCACCGGAUUUCCAAAUAUACAUCGACAAGCAAGUUCCGUUUGGGAUUAGGCGUCCUACUGGUUAUACUUCACAAACAAACUACAUCGAUGACAAGAACAUGAGCCAGAUCAUAGCUUAUAAACCUAGUUCCUGAAAUAACAUUACGGCUCAUAAGGAUUAUUGGAAAACACACGACUAUUAUGAUAAGUAGUUCAACACAGCAUAAAGGAACCUACAUUAACAGGACAGGGAAGCUCAGGUCCAAUGACUAGAGACUCUAAAG
rnacentral:lncRNA from 1 species